rnacentral:lncRNA from 1 species
CCUUGAGCUGUGGGAAGCCUGCUGCUACCUCUUCGGGCUUCAGUUCUGGAGCAUACGCCAAACACCGACACAAGGUAGCCAGCGCCCCUUCCGGGCGGCUGAUCGGGUUAGCUCACCUAUCUGAGGCGGAAGGGUGGAUAAGCAUCCAAGCAUCUUUUUGAUUCAUGUGAUUGGUUCCUUGGUGCCCAUCACUGCCUUCAUGAUCAGCAUGCUCCCAGUACACAGCUGCUCAGUCAGUGUGUAAAUCGCCUUUAACUUCAAGAUGCAGUCGUCCUGAAGGUUGGCGGCUCUCGGGCCUGCGUGAGAAAGACAAAUGAUGGUUCGUACUUUGUUUUUUUCACACUAAUUUUUUAUUUUAGAGAUACGAAACCAGGAAUUCCUUCUUACCAAAGAUGGUCCGUGUCAUGCUGGAAAUAUGUUUCUUUAAACCGGCCAGUUCUUGUUGCAUCGCUCCCAAUUUUGUUUCAGUCGUUUCAGCUCGCUUUAGCGUGGUGGCUUGAUCAACUUGAGAUUUCUUGUCGGCGGCUUUCAGCUUUUCCAUAUUAGCUAAGAUUUCCUGUUAUUUUUCUUCUGCUUGAGCCCGCGCGUCUUGCUGGUCGGCUAAACUUUUCUUUAAGUCGCCCAACGUUGACUCGGCUUGGGCUAUAGAUUCCUGUCAACAUAUUUUGGAGGGACAAGUCUCAGAAUUGUUGCAAGCAACAUCCCUGACACUUGGGGGCUAAUGUAUAAUUUAAAAAAAAAACAAAAUUAUACCACAAGCAAGACCCGACUCAUCUUUCAAUAGAUGACCCGACCCUUGGGGGUUACGGGUCAAAGAUUUUUUAUACAUCAAGACCCGGAUCAUCUUUCAAAAGAUAACCCGGCCCUUGGGGGUUACAGGUCGAAGAUUUUUUCUACAUCAAGACCCGGCUCAUCUUUCAAAAUAUGACGGGGGUUAUAGGUCGAAGAUUUUUUCUAAGUCAAGACCUGGCUCAUCUUUCAAAAGAUGACCCGACCCUUAUGGGUUACAGGUCGGAAGAUUUUCUAACGCAAGACCCGGCUCAUCUUUCAAUAAGAUGACCCGGGCCUUGGGGGCUAAUGAGGAGGGUAUGCAUUAAGGCGUACCUCAUGUUUAUUCUUCAUCAUAUGGAGUAGGUUCUUCUCCAUUUCAUAACUUGUUUCUAGGCGACUUGCGAAGCCGGAGCAGAGUUCAUCAAACUCAAGUUUUUCAUAUUGAGGAAGUUUGGCCUUGGAGAUCUCAUGUCUGGUGGAAGGAUGGGACGAUGUUGAUACAUGCUGUGAUAAGAUUGCUGAAGCCGGCUUAGAGAAGACAGUACUAGUAAUGACCACAACAUCAGGAUCUUCAGCCGCCUUCAACGGACUUGGCGGGUUGGUUGUUUCCAUGCCUUCCUUGGGAGAACUUGGAAGGUCAAUUCGGUCAUCAGUAUAUCUUUUGUCGGGUCAACAUGAGCCGGUGCUGGGUCUUCUUUAAGCUGUGGGGCAGAAGGAGUGGAAGUUGGGCCGCCGGUUUUCCUCUUCUUUGCUUGCGCUCUAAGAAAAAUAGGGUCAUGUUUAAAGCAAGCAUCAUUAUCAUCAGGAAAGACAUAAGUAUUAUAAGGACUUACCAUUGUACGCGAAUCAUUGGCGGAAGGGCCGACAUCACUGAGUAGCCCGAUGAAGGGGGGAAAGUCUGCAAAAGUAAUAUCUCAAAAUAUGAGCGAGUUACAAGUGUGAUCCAAUAGAAAACAAAGGUAGAAAUUGAUAGAGGGUACCUCCUUUCGCCGUUUCUUGGUAGGGGUUUUUAUUGGUAACCCGAACAUCAAAUCCACUGAGUGGCUUCGAGUUUUCCGAAAGGAAGUGUGUUGCGACUUCUUCAAGAGGAAAUUAGGGUCUAGACAAGCAUUCGGGUGAGACAUGGGAACUUUCCCACAAACUCGCCUGGCCGACUUAGGCGAAGGAGAAGUUGAGUCGGAAGAAAUGGAAAUUACCUCUACGGCGUCAUCCUGGCUUUCGUUAUCAUCAUUCUAUACAUGGAAAUGCAGAGAUAUAAGCACAAAUUAGAGUAAAAGUGCGUCAAGACAAAAAGGAUAAAAUUUUACCUCUGAAGACGCUUCGCCGACUUGGGAUUCGUCCACAUCAGACGAUUUGGCGACAGCGGCUUGGUUUUUACCCUUGGACUUCUUUUUAGGAGGCGAUUUGGUUUGCUUCAGGGCAAGCUUCUUCGGCCUUCGUGACCAGAAUCGGUCGCCCUUCUGAGGUGGAAUUAUCAUUAUGCAAGUCAGAAUCCGGGUAAGUUGNNNNNNNNNNNNNNNNNNNNNNNNNNNNNNNNNNNAAAGAGUGAACCAAGGGCGGGCCAAAUUAUUUACCUUAGGAGCCGGGUUAAUCUUGCAAAAUGGCCUAAGCCCUAUUUGGCUACAUUUGGCCAAAGGCUCGCCGGUUUGCUUCUUGAUGAUGCUCACAAUGUCUUCCUCUGUGAGUGCUAUGUGGAAGUAGCAUUGAGGAUGGUUCAAAGUACCAGCAAACUUGCACAUCAAGCCGUCUAGGCGACUCAAGGGAAGGAUGUGCCAUUCCACCCAGCAGCGGAUCAGAUCAACUCCAGUAAGACCAAUGUUUGUUAAAGAUCGUAACUCGGAUAGCACUCGAAUGAAAUCUGAUUCAUCUUCUUCGGUGAGCUUGUCAGGAAGUUUGAAGUUUGUGGGCAGACGCUCCUUCCUGUAGCCUAGGAGUUUGUUCUCACCCAGAGGAGAAGUGUCCCGAUAAUAAAACCAAGACUCGGCCCAGCCUUUGGGGUGGCUGGGCAUGGCGAGUGAUGGGAAUGGACUGUCCUUGCGUUGUUGAACAUUAACCCCUCCAAGUUCUAAGCUAGGGCCAUUGGAGAACUCGGUCUGGCGAUUCAGGUGGAAGAAAUACCAAAACAAAGUGACCGACGGUUCCAUUCGUAGGUAAGCUUCACAGAAUACCUGGAAUUAGCACAUGUUGCUGAUCGAGUUGGGGCCCAGGUCUUGUAGGCAGAUGUUCAUAAAAAACAUAGCAUCUCUGAGGAACUUUGACCCUGGCUGCUAAAACCCUCGUUCGAGGUGGUCAGCAUAAACAACUAUUUCCCCUUCGGCCGAGUUGGGAAUUUCGUCGCCUAGUCCAGAUCGUCAUCCAAUGACUUCCUACGGGUCAAGGUUCCAUGUAUUUACGCACUGCUCGAGGAAGGUGUCGUCAAUUUUGGUCGGGAGCCAGUCGGCCUUAAAAACGGUACCCAUAGCUACAGAGGAAAAGGUCAUGGGUAAGUUAACCCGCCAAAACGCUUGUCGAGUGGUUGGGAGAAUCUAUUAACUGGCCAACAAGGGACCAGGUUUGGGCACGAGGGCGAUUUAGGAAUUUCCCAUUACUCACAGGAGGUACCUCAGGGCAUCAAAAACAUGCAGAAAAAUGACGAGGCAUGAAUCUACAAACAGUCUUCUACAUAGCAAGCAAUGCAACGGGGAUGUGCGAGCAAGGUAAAAUAACGGAGAAAACCUGGAUAAAGUGAAACAGAUCACGGUUGAAAGCAACUACGGCAGGGGUGAUUUAACCAAAGCCCUCUUGGUUCUCUAAACCGAAAUUAAAUGGAUUGGAGAUGUGGUCGGUGCUAAUAUGCUAAGCUACCACAUUGGAUCGAUUGGCAAACGCCGAGGAGUUCAAGGAGUUCUAGGGCGCAGCGAAUGGCGAACGUUGAAAGGCUCGGAUCUGUUCGUAAUGGUGGAAGACUAACCUGUUAAACAACGUCCGGAGGCGAUUGUACAGACCCGCGGUGGAGAUGGUGUGCCCGUUUAGCUCGACGAUGCGACGGACGCAGUGGCCGACGGCGGAGACCCUCGGGCGACGAUGGAGCUCGUCGGGCGGCGGCGGAGUUCCUUGUGUGGCUUCGAGGAAGAAGAAGAAACAGAAGAAGAAUGGGCAAAGAUUCCCUCUGCCCCCAUUCUCGAGCCUAUUUAAUAGGUCAGGUGCGGGGAUCAAGGCGCCUCGCGCAGGAACCGAAGGGGGCAAAUUAAAGAUUCGCACUUAUGGCUCCAAUAUUUUCGGGAUAUUUGCGCCGAGAGAUCCGUUGGGGAUUGCGUCAUCAUUUUCUGGAAUUAAAGGGAUAAGGUGACGUCACCGUAAACGGUUCGGCGACUUGGGUAUUUCCAUGGUGGAUGGCGGCUUAAGCGUAUGGUGCACGAGAAAGGUGGAAUGAGUCGUUCCUAAAGUAGGUAAAAGUUUAUUGGCGUGAACAGGUUCAAGUCAAUAUGGGGCCUAAUGNNNNNNNNNNNNNNNNNNNNNNNNNNNNNNNNNNNNNNNNNNNNNNNNNNNNNNNNNNNNNNNNNNNNNNNNNNNNNNNNNNNNNNNNNNNNNNNNNNNNUAAGUCAUCAGGGAGUCUUCGAGUCUUGGAAAGCACGGCGAUUUAGAAACUAAAGGAAUCACGACUUGUGUUAUGGCAAGGACUCUUGUAAACCCUAGGGCCUCGACCUGUAUAUAAAGGCGAGCCCCUGGAGAGGGGAGGUCAGGUUAGAAAUCAUCGAGAGCUAGGUCAGGCGAGUUACGCCCUCCUUGUAAUCGAAACAUCAUCAAUACAACACUAGAAGGACAUAGGCUUUUACCUCACCACGAGGGGCCGAACCUGGGUAAAACCGAGUCCCUCUUCCACUCAAACCCCUUUGAGUCGCCACCAAGGUGCGAUGGCUCCAUCAUUAAGUCCUUUCACUAGGAAAUCUGCCGUGAGAAAACCACGACAAUAACCAUGGAGGCCAUCAUUCCAAUGGAGGGAGUUUGCAUAAUCAUAAUGGCCCCAAGAAUGGGAAUGGGAAUGGAGGAAGCAACGGACAGAACCGUUCCAACCCAGCAACGCCCGCCAAGAAGGAUCUAAGUCACAUUAGUUGUUUUUAGUGCGGGAAUAAUGGACAUUACGCCAUGGAGUGUCCUAAAGCAAAGAAUGGAAAUGGCAAUGGAAGCUCUGGGAAUAAGCCCAACCCUUUCAACAGGGGACAAGUGAACCAUGCUAGCAUGGAGGAGGUUGAAGCGCAACCCGAUUCAGUACUAGGUAAGUUUUUGGUUAGGUCAUUUACUGCAAUCGUUCUUUUCGAUACUGGAUAAGUAUAACCUGCCAACCCAAGCCCUUAGGUCACCCAUGUUAGUAACCUCGCCAGGAGCAGAGUACAUGGCUAGCCUAUGGUGUGAUCUGUUACCAUUAAGGAUUGGUAACUACGUGUUCCCCUCAGACCUAAUAGUAUUGGAGUCACAAGGACUGGAUGUAAUAUUAGGUAUGCAUUGGUUAUUGAAGUAUGGAGGGAACAUUGACUGCGCCAGUAAGUCGAUUUUUCUCACCAGCCCAGAAGGAAGAAGGAUUAAGUAUGUAUCCCGGCAUGUGCCGAAGAGAACUCUAGUAAAUUCCUUAUCAGGAGUUGUACAGGAGGAAGUACUAGUGGUGAAGGAUUUCCCUGAUGUAUUCCCAAAGGAGUUGCCAGGCAUGCCACCAGACAGAGACAUUGAGUUUUUGAUUGAGCUUUUGCCAGGCACAGGGCCAAUAUCUAAGAGACCGUAUCGGAUGCCCGCAAAGGAUUCGGAAACAAUUAAGAAAUAGAUUAAGGAGUUACUGGAUAGAGGCUAUAUUCGCCCAAGUUCGUCACCUUGGGGAUCACAAGUGCUUCUAGUGGAGAACAAGGAUGGAUCGUUGAGAAUGGUAGUGGAUUAUCGAGGAUUGAAUGAAGUGGAAAUGAAGAACAAGUAUCCACUGCAAAUGAUCAAUGAUUUGUUUGACCAAUUGCAAGGAGCUAAAUUAUUCUUCAAGAUCGAUCUGCGAUCACGAUACCACCAGCUAAAGGUUUGAGAGCAGGAUAUACCUAAGACAGCUUUUACCACAAGGUAUGGGCUAUAUGAGUAUACCGUUAUGUCAUUUGGUCUCACUAACGCACCUGCCUAUUUCAUGAACAUGAUGAACAAGGUGUUUAUGGAGUUUUUGGAUAAGUUCGUCGUGGUGUUCAUUGAUGAUAUUCUGGUCUACUCGAAGAAUGAAGAGGAGCAUAAGGAGCAUUUGUGUUUGGUACAUGGGAAACUCCGAGAACAUCAGUUAUAUGCGAAGUUCAGCAAGUGUUAGUUUUGGUUGAAGGAAGUUGGUUUCCUUGGACAUGUUAUAUCCGAAGAAGGAAUAGCAGUAGACCCCACCAAAGUUGUCACAGUGACUAAUUGGGAACCACCCACGUCAGUUGGAGAGAUCUGGAGUUUUCUUGGACUCGCAGGAUACUACCGGAGAUUCAUUGAGAAUUUCUCUAAGAUUGCAAAGCCCAUGACGGAGUUGUUGAAGGACACCAAGUUCAAAUGGACUGAGGAAUGUGAAGCCGGUUUUCGGGAGUUGAAGAAACGCUUGGUUACAGCCCCACUGCUGAUUCUCCCCGAUCAACGCAAGGAUUAUCAAGUGUAUUGCGACGCUUCUCGUCGAGGACUUGGAGCAGUGUUGAUGCAGGAGGGAAGAGUUGUUUCGGAUGCCUCAGGACAGCUUAAACCCCAUGAGUUGAACUAUGCUACCCAUGAUUUGGAGUUAGCAGCCGUAGUGCAUGUGUUGAAAAAGUGGAGACAUUUUCUCACCGGAAACCACUGUGAGGUGUACACAAAUCACAAGAGUUUGAAGUAUACUUUCACACAGAAGGAGUUGAAUCUUAGACCAAGGAGAUGUUUGGAGCUCAUCAAGGAUUUUGAUAUGAGGUUGCACUAUCAUCUCGGAAAGCCUAAUGUAGUAGUCGAUGCGUUGAGUCGCAAAAGUCAUGUCAAUACACUCAUGACCAGAGGAUUACCUGAGGAGUUAGCAGAAGAUCUUCGCGAGCUAUGGUUGGAAAUAGUUUCGAGAGGUUAUGUACUAGCAUUGGAGAUUCAGUCUACCCUGAUGGAUAAGAUUAGAGAAGCCCAGAAGACUGACAAAGAGAUUGCCAAGAUAAAGGAAAGGAUGAGCAAAGGAAAGGCUAAAGGAUUUCGUGAGGAUGAGCACGAUACCUUAUGGUUGAGGAUCGCGUAUAUGUGCCUAAUGACCCCGAGAUCAGGAAGUUGAUUCUGCAGGAGGCCCACGAUUCACCGUAUUCGAUUCACCCAGGAAAUACCAAGAUGUAUCUGAAUUUGAAGGACAGUUUCUGGUGGACCGGAAUGAAGAACGAUAUUGCGGAGUAUGUAGCAGUUUGUGAUGUAUUUCAGAGAGUGAAGGCGGAGCAUCAGAAGCCAGCAGGUUUGCUACAACCAUUGCAGAUACCCGAAUGGAAGUGGGACAACCUAGGAAUGGAUUUUAUAACGGGAUUGCCCAGGACUCGUUCAGGCUAUGACUCGAUUUGGGUUAUAGUCGAUCGUUUGACGAAGGUAGCUCAUUUCAUCCCAGUAAAGACCGCUUACACCAGUGCUAAGUUGGCAAAGAUAUACAUGACCAGGAUCGUAUGUCUGCAUGGAGUUCCGAGGACCAUUAUAUCAGAUAGAGGAACCCAGUUUACCUCAUAGUUCUAGAAUCAGUUGCAUGAAACGUUGGGUACCAGGCUAGAGUUUAGUACAACCUUUCAGCCUAAGACAUAUGGACAGACCGGGAGAGUCAAUCAGAUUUUAGAGGACUUGUUGAGAGCUUGUGCGCUAGAUUAUGGAUCUAGUUGGGACGACAAUUUGCCGUAUGCAGAGGUAUCUUACAAUAAUAGCUAUCAAGCCAGUUUGAAGUUGGCCCCUAUCGAAGCCUUGUACGGAAGGAGGUGCAGGAUACCGUUGUUAUGGGAUGAAGUUGGAGACCAUCAGUUGUUUGGACGGGAUUUGAUUAAGGAGUCUGAAGAGAAGGUUAAGUUUAUUCGCGAUAGACUCAAGGUAGCCUAGUCCAAGCAGAAGAGUUAUGCGAAUUCAAAACGCAACGAGACAAUUCAUGAAGUUGGAGACAAAGUUUAUCUUUGUGUGUCCCCACUUCGAGGUGUUAAGCAUUUUGGAGUUAAGGGAAAGUUAUCACCAUGUUUUGUGGGACCAUAUAUAGUUUUGGAGCGUAUGGGAGAAGUUGUUUAUAGGUUGGAAUUGCGAGAAGGAUUGUCAGGAGUUCCUGAUGUGUUCCAUGUUUCCCAGUUGAAGAAGUGCCACACAGAUAUGGCCAAUAUUCCUGUAAGAGAUACAGUGCCACUGGAAGCGAUUUAGUUGGAUAGCGAUUUAACUUACGAGGAGAAACCAUUGAAGAUUCUCGAGUUUGCCAGCCGAGUCACACGCAUCAAGGUUAUCAAGUUCUGCAAAGUUCAAUGGAGCCACCAUACCGAGGAUGAAGCCACCUGGGAAUGAGAAGAAGACCUACGGUAGGAUCACCCACACCUAUUCUCUAGCCAACCCGAAUCUCAAGGGCGAGAUUCAUCUGAAGGGGGUAGGUUUGUAACAUCCCGAAUUUUCAAUUUGGAAUGUUAUGCAUUAGAUCAUCAUUGCAUAUCAUAUUUUAUUGCAUUCUUGGUUGAUCCUAGAAAUUCUACGCAACUCAAGGACCCACGGAGAGUGUUGGGGAAUUUUCUAUUUUCAUAAUUGAGUUUUCCCAAAUUUUGAAAAGAGGAUCAUUCGGUUUUAAUUAUUUUCUCUUCAAAUAUUUCUAAAUAUAAAAUAAAACAGAGGGGAUAAAAUGACUUCCCCCAAAGAAAGAAAUAUUGGUGGAAAAAUAUUAAAAUCAAAUAGGAAUUUUAUUCAGAGUUUUAUUGCUAUUUUAUUUCAAUUAGAAAAAAUCCGUUUUUCAAAAUUGCAUUAGAGGCCCCAAUAAAUGUUCACCUUGUUCGUCAUAUUUUUAGAGGACGGGGAAAAUUUAUUUCAAGACUUUUGGAGUCUGUUUGAUAUUUCUUUUUAUUUAUCUUCUCCGCAUCGGAAUUAUUUAAAAAAAAGUCAAACCAUUUAAACGGGCCAUGUCCGACCGGGACUCUAUCCCGUCGGCCUUUAUAAGCCCAGCCGAGGCGCCCCGGAAACCCUCGUCGCCGCGCCGCUCAGCCGCGCCGCCGCCGCGCCGCCCAGCCGCCUCGCCGCCGUGCCGCCUCGCCGCCCCAUCGCCGACCCCGCCCUGAGGUAACCGGGUUUUUUAAAUAAAACCCUAGAUUUAUUUUUAGAUCAGUUUUAUUAUUUUAUUUCCGGUUUAUUUAAUUAGCGUACGUUCGUCUGUACGUUCGUUUUAACGAACGAUGUUCAUCCGUUAGCCGCAGACAGCGAACGUUCGUUCGUUAGCCUGUUUGUCAGUUUUUAUUUUUCCAUGGAUUUUCCACGAUUAUUUCUGAUCGCGAUUUCUGGACUGAUUUUCGUUUUAGUUUAUCUUUUCGCUCGUUUAUCGGAAUCAGGUGGUUCAAACGCCCAGAUCUUUUUCUCGAAACCCUCUUUCUGUUUAACCAACUUGAACAAGAUUUUUGUACUGUAAAAGUUGACUCUAGUCCAAAUUAGUAAACAAACUUGUUUCUUUCGCAGUUUGAGUUUCGCUGCUUCAUUUGUUUUGAUUCUUUUUGCAAACCGGAGUUCUUCAGUUGAACUUUCUGGUUAGAUCUCUUAUCUGAGUUUUCCCCGUGCAUCUAGUUUGAGUGCUUAUGUAUGUUAUUGUUUGUUUACGAUAGAGUACCCGGAGUGCGAAGCGUGCUACUAGUCUCUAGGUUUUGUGGAUCAUCAGCAAGGCAACUAACCCUUUGAUCAUACCUCUUUACUACCAAGUUUUAUUGCAUCAGAUCAACCCUCAACAUUGCAUGGUUAGGAUAUGAUUAACAUGUGGGUUUUGGGAAGUAGAUGAUGAGGUAGAACCUAUUGUCCUGUUUAUUAUCAAAUCUUUGGGAGUUACUUCUACGAUUUGCUUAUUGCUAUGCUAUGCUCGUUGACGUGGAUUGGGUGAGUGUAUCCAUGACAGAUGUGAGUAUUGUUAAUUAAUUGUUCACUUAAGGUGGCUACUUGAAUACACAUCUGGGUGGAUUGCUUGAGGCACCUUGGGGUACCCAGUGGUCGUCAGGGCACCUGGAGAAAUCCAGUGUUGUCCUAGGAUAUCACGGAGUAACCGUGUGAUCAUCCUACGGUCCGGCACACAGGCUCAAACGAAUCAUAAGAUUAUUCAUUCUAGAAACUUCCGUGGGCAGCCACAAGCCAUUAUGGGCUCUGGCAUAGUUGAGUAAGUUGCGUGAAGCUCUUGAAGCGGUAGACUAGCAGAUGUAGUGGGUUGUAGGUGGUACGGUCUACCGAGAGUAGAGAGUUAAUGCUUCAGAAAGACUAUGUCUUGAAUCUCUGACCAUGGAUGUAUUCGAGUCUUGUGGGAAAAGUGUGCAAACCUCUGCAGAGUGUAGAAACUAAUCAUCGUUAGCCGUGUCCCCGAUUAUAGACAUCUUGAGUAUCUGGUUCCUGGAUUAUCAUGUUGAUCUCAUCACUCUAAAUAAAUUUGUUGGGUUUAAUGAUGAUGCUUAAUUGGGAUUGAGNNNNNNNNNNNNNNNNNNNNNNNNNNNNNNNNNNNNNNNNNNNNNNNNNNNNNNNNNNNNNNNNNNNNNNNNNNNNNNNNNNNNNNNNNNNNNNNNNNNNGGUUGCCUUCAUUUUAUGGAAAGCAAUGUAUUUGUGAACAAUGAUAUCAAGAUUUUUCAAGGAAUAAUUUGGAUACCUUUCCUAUAUGUCUUUCCACAAAGUAUGAGCACACUCAAAGUUUUGCAACUGAUUAAUCACGUUUCUUGGUAAACCUCUAAUGAUAAGAUUGACGGUGUUGAGGUUGCCAAGCAUGUUAACUUCAUCAUCAUGAGAAGGAUCUAUGGGGUCAAUGGGAGGUGCAUAGGGAUAUUCAAUAUACUUGCGCAAAUGGAACUCAUCGAAUAUGUCAAGCUUUUCGUCUUUCCAUUGUCUAAAGUACUCCCCAUCAAAAAUAGGCACUCUACAACUAAAAAUCUAAGAACUAGUCACAUUCAUCUUCCUCCAAUGGCUGUUAAACCAAGGUUUUGGUGACCUUGCUCUGAUACCACUUGAGGGAUCGAUAUAAGAUGUCUCUGGGGGGGGGGGAAUAUGCUACUUGUCAAGAUAAAAUUUCUAGCCUAGCCAAAUUUCUAGGAGGGCAGAAAUCUAGCAGUUCUAACAAGUCCACAUACCCUACACAAGCAGUUCUAAGAGUCUAGCAGCGGAAAGUAAAACAUGCAAGUGUAAAGUAGAGGAGAAGGGAAGCAAGAUCAAACGCAUGGGGUUGACACGAUAAUUUUUGGCAUGGUUCCGAUAGGUGGCGCUAUCGUACGUCCAUGUUAGUGGAGACUUCAACCCACGGAGGGUAACGGCUGCGAGAGUCCAUGGAGGGCUCCACCCACGGAGGGUCCACAAAAAAACAGCUUUGUCUAUCCCCCCGAGGCUUCCUUCCACGGAGGACUAGUGUUACUCACGGUAGAUAUUCAUGAAGUAGGAGAUAUCCUUGCCCUUACAAACAUCUUUGUUCAACUCCACAACAUGAAGUAGGAGGCUCCCAAGCGAGACCUAACCAAUCUAGGAGGCACCAUGCUCCAAAAGGUAAUAUAUGUGGUAGAUCAAUGAACUCCUUGCUCUUGUGCUUAUAAAGAUAGUCUCCUCAACACAAAUAUCUCUCUCACAGAAUAUGCAUGGGUAGGAGAGGUUGACUUGGUGGAAAGCAGUUUGGGGAGGCUAGAGAUCAAUAUUCAAAUGAUUGGAUUGGAAUAUUUUGGAAUAUUCAAGGUAAUAUGUUGGUGACACCGAAUUUGUGAAUGUGGAACUUUAUAGAGUGGAUAUGUGGGAACAAUGACCGAGUGUUUUGGUGGCUAACUUUGAGCAUUUGAGCAAUCAGUUCAUUUUACUACCUCACCCGCUUUUAAUAGUAUUGGCUUUCCUAUGGACUCCAAAGUGAUUUCUCACAAGUAUGAAAUGAAGAGUCUUCUAGCUUGAAGCUUGAGCCAAUAUUAUUCCUUUCUUGCAUCCAGGGGCAUCUCCACAUAAACCUUAAGCCAUAGCUCUUCAUGGACUAAACCUGAAAUAUCUAGGUAAAAGUAUUAGUCCAAGAGGCAAUGUAUGUUGUCAUGAAUUAUCAAAAUCACCAAGGGAGUAUCUGUGCUUGCAAUGGUGUUGCAAUACGUUCUUGAUUCUCUUAUAGUGGGUGGCUAGAGUGACACAAGAUUACACCCGAGUAAGGGGGUUGUUGCGUAUGGUAGUAAAUGGGAAUUGAUGUUUACUGCUAUUGUUGGGUUUACCUUAAUGAUUUCUUGGAUUUGCGGAUUCUUGCUAGAGGUCCAAUCAUAAGUUCAUAUGAUCCAAGUAUGAAAACUAUGUUAGCUCAUGCCUCUCCGACAUAUAAAAUUGCAAUAAUGAUUACUGAUCUUGUUAUCAAUUACCUUGGAAAAUUCCGCACACCAUACCAUAAUUAUUCCACCCUUGCUUUUUUUAAUAUAAUAUAAUAUAUGCUAAAUUAUUUAGGCAUCAACUAUUUUUCAUAUUUUAGUUCUCCAAUAUCAUGCAAAGCUAUCCUCUUUAUACCUAGAGCACAAUUUUAUUUCUCCUUUCUAGUUAGAAGCAACUAGUGUGUGUACAUGGAGUUGUAUUAGUCGCAUAUAGGACUUGACAGAAUAUUGAUCUUACUUUUAGCUCCUUGUGGGUUUGACACUCCAUACUUACUACUUCCAUAUUUGGAAAGUGCUAUGAUGAUUCCUUGCACUUGGGGAUCAUCAGUCUCUAGUNNNNNNNNNNNNNNNNNNNNNNNNNNNNNNNNNNNNNNNNNNNNNNNNNNNNNNNNNNNNNNNNNNNNNNNNNNNNNNNNNNNNNNNNNNNNNNNNNNNNCUCACUUUGCAAACAAUCUAUAAGGGAUUGACAACCCCUUCAUAGUGUUGGGUGCAAGCUCUUUGUGUUUGUGCAGGUACUUGUGACUUGACUCGAUCCUCCUACUGGAUUGAUACCUUGGUUCUCAAACUGAGGGAUAUACUUACCGCCGCUGUGCUACAUCACCCUUUCCUCUUCAAGGGAACACCAACGCAAGGCUCCAAGGCCGCGGGGCUACAUCACCCUUUCCUCUUCAAGGGAACACCAACGCAGGGCUCCAAGGCCGCGAGGAAAUCCUUUGCAUAUUUGCCAAGGAAGUCCAUAUAGGCGUAGCCCGUAGCAGAAGGAUUCCUGGCGCCGUUGCUAGGGAAGGUCUUUUGUUGCCGUAGCAGUACCCUUGGAUAGCAAGGAUGGACGUCGUUCUUUUAUCGUUUGUCUUCGUACGUAGUCGGACCCUGCUCUUCAUCAUGAUGACUGUAUAUUGUUGUAUUGAUGUGAUCUUGAUGUAUCUUGUGGCAAGUGUAAGCCAACUCCUUAUACUUAUCUUUUCAGUACAUGUACUUGUAACGAUAUCCAUUCUUGCGAAACGGCGAGAUGUGUUUCAAUUCCUGUCGAGGCCCUCGCGCCAAAAUAAGGAUAGGACCGCAUCUUGGGUUUUACAAUGUGGCACUAAGAUAUAUUGUGAUGUGCUGACAAUUUGGUUAGUGGAACUAAUGCCAGUUUGUAGAGUUUACCUCGGGAUAUUGGUUUCACGGAGAUCCCAUUGGAGUUGUGUGACCACCCAUAAUAGGGGAUUUGUGGUGCGAGAGUUGCAACCUGAAAAGUGCAUGUGGCACUAAGAUAUAUAGUGAUGUGAUGACAAUCUGGUUAGUGGAACUAAUAUCAGUUUGUAGAGUUUAUCUUAGGAUAUUGGUUUCACAGAGAUUCCAUUGGACUUGUGUGACCCCCCACCAUUCAAAAAGGUCAAGUCGUAUUUACCGAUGACUCAAAGGUUUUUGUUGGUUUGAUUUGAGUCGUAUGAAAAUCGCACUAUCAAGAGGGGUCAUCAUGGAUGUGUCAUGUGUGAAUGCCUCCAAACUUAUACACCAGCCAUCCUACACCUACGACCAAGAAUCCACUUAUAAUGUGCUUUUUGAGGUGUCUUGUGAGCUUCAACAAAAACUCUCUCGACACCCGAGGUUCCACGAAACUCUCUUGACAUCCCAUGAUCACGGGGUCCUAGACCCUCGUGUGCACNNNNNNNNNNNNNNNNNNNNNNNNNNNNNNNNNNNNNNNNNNNNNNNNNNNNNNNNNNNNNNNNNNNNNNNNNNNNNNNNNNNNNNNNNNNNNNNNNNNNCCAAACAUUUUGAGUAUGUGCUCACUGACAGAACUGUUCUCCUCCAUCUUACAGCUAAAGAACUUGUCGGAGACUUCAUAUCUCUCGACACGAGCAUGAGCUUGAAAAACUAGCUUCAGCUCCUGGAACAUCUCAUGUGCUCCGUGUUGCUCAAAACGCCUUUGGAGCCCCGUUUCUAAACUGUAUAACAUGCCACACCUAACCAGAGAGUAGUCAUCACUCCGCGUUUGCCAGACGUUCAGAAUGCCCUGGGCUGCCGCGGGAGCGGGAGGGUCACCUAGCGGCGCAUCAAGGGCAUAAGCCUUUUUAUCUGCCUCAAGGAUGAGCUNNUAGCGGCGCAUCAAGGGCAUAAGCCUUUUUAUCUGCUUCAAGGAUGAGCUUCAAGUUGCGAACCCAGUCCGCAUAGUUGCUACCAUCAUCUUUCAGCUUGUUUUUCUCUAGGAAUGUGUUGAAAUUGAGGUUGACGUUGGCCAUCUACAAUAUUUAUAAAGACAAACCUUUUAGACUAAGUUCAUGACAAUUAAGUUCAUUUAAUCAAAUUAAGUAUGAACUCCCACUUAAAUCGACAUCCCUCUAGUCAUCUAAGUGAUACAUGAUCCAUGUUGACUAACCCGUGUCCGAUCAUCACGUGAGACGGACUAGUCACCAUGGUGAGCAACUUCAUGCUGAUCGUAUUCAACCAUACGACUCAUGUUCCACCUUUCGUGCUGAUCGUAUUCAACCAUACGACUCAUGUUCGACCUUUCGGUCUCUUGUAUUUGAGGUCAUGUCUGUACAUGCUAAGCUCGUCGAGUCAACCUAGGUGUUUCGCGUGUGUAAAUCUGGCUUACACCCGUUGUAUGCGAACGUUAGAAUCUAUCACACCCGAUCAUCACGUGGUGCUUCGAGACAACGAACCUUCGCAACGGUGCACACUUAGGGGAAUACGUUCUCGAAAUUUUAAGAGGGAUCAUCUUAUUAUGCUACCGUCGUUCUAAGCAAUAAGAUGAAAAACAUGAUAAACAUCACAAUACAAUCAUAUAGUGUCAUGAUAUGGCCAUUAUCAUCUUUGCUCUUUCGAUCUCCAUCUUCAGGCAUCGCAUGAUCAUCACCAUCACCGGCAUGACACCAUGAUCUCCAUCAUCAUGAUCUCCAUCAUCGUGUCUCCGUGAAGUCGUCACGCCAAUUACUUCUAUCACUACCACUAUGGCUAACCGUUAGCAAUGAAGUAAAAGUAGUAAGCACAUGGCGUUGCAUCUCAUACAAUAAAUUAAGACAACUCCUAUGGCUCCUGCCGGUUGUCAUACUCAUCGACAUGGAAGUCGUGAAACCUAUUACAAUAACAUGAUCAUCUCAUACAUCAUACAUGCAACAUCACAACUUUGGCCAUAUCACAUCACAUGUCAAACCGUGCAAAAACAAGUUAGACGUCCUCUAAUUGUUGUUGCAAGUUUUACGUGGCUGAUUUGUGUUUCUAGCAAGAACGCCUUCUUACCUAUGUGAAAGCCACAACGAUGAUAUGCCAAAGCUAUUUACCCUUCAUAAGGACCCUUUUCAUCAAAUCAAUCCGACUAGAGUAGGAGAGACAGACACCCGCUAGCCACCUUUAUGCACGGUGUGCAUGUCUGUCGGUGGAACCAGUCUCACGUAAGCGUACGUGUAAAGUCGGUCCGGGCCUCUNNNNNNNNNNNNNNNNNNNNNNNNNNNNNNNNNNNNNGGGCCUCUUCAUCCCACAAUACCACCGGUAAAGAAUAAGACUAGUAGCGGCAAGCAAAUUGACAAAUCAUCGCCCACAACUUUUGUGUUCUACUCGUGCAUAGAAUCUACGCAUAGAAAACCUGGCUCGGAUGCCACUGUUGGGUAACGUAGCAUAAAUUGAAAAUUUUCCUACGCAUAUUCAGAUCUUCCUAUGGAGAGACCAGCAACGAGAGAGGGGUAAGAGCAUCUUCAUACCUUUGAAGAUCGCUAAGCGGAAGCGUUGCUAGAACACGGUUGAUGGAGUCGUACUCGCAGCGAUUCCGAUCUAGUGCCGAACUACGGCACCUCCGCGUUCAACACACGUGCAGCCCGGUGACGUCUCCUGCACCUCGAUCCAGCAAGGAGGAGGGAGAGGUUGGGGAAGAACUCCAGCAGCAUGACGGCGUGGUGUCGAUGGAGAGACGAGGUCUCCCGGCAGGGCUUCGCCAAGCACGGGCAGAGAGGAGGAGGAAGAAGGGCAGGGUUGCGCCGAGAGAGAGGCAAAAGUCUAUCUCUCAAUGGCCAAAAGUGCCCGAUAUAUAUAGGGAGAUGGGAGAGGGGGUGCCACCCCUAGGGUUCCCACCCUAGGUGGUGCGGCAGCCCCCCCAGAUGGGAGGUGCGGCGGCCAGAGGGGGGAGGAGGGGGUGGCGCACCACCUGGUGGGCCUUAGGCCCACCUGGCUUAGGGUUUGCCCCUCUUUUCUCUCCCCUGCGCAUUGGGCUGAGUGGGGAGGCGCACCAGCCCACCUAGGUGCUGGUUCCCACCCCCACUUGGCCCAUCUUACCUCCCGGGGUCGUUGCCCCCCUUCGGUGGUCCCCCGGGGCCACCUCCGAUGGUCCGGGUGGUCCCGGUACGUUACCCGUUAUGCCCGAAACACUUCCGGUAUCCGAAACCAUCCGUCCUAUAUAUCAAUCUUUACCUCCGGACCAUUCCGGAGCUCCUCGUGAUGUCCGGAAUCUCAUCCAGGACUCCGAACAACUCUCGGUAACCUCGUAUAACAAUUCCCUAUAACCCUAGCGUCACCGAACCUUAAGUGUGUAGACCCUACGGGUUCGGGAGACAGGCAGACAUGACCGAGACACCUCUCUGGCCAAUAACCAUCAGCGGGGUCUGGAUACCCAUGGUGGCUCCCACUUUCUCCACGAUGAUCUCAUCGAAUGAACCACGAUGUCAAGGAUUCAAUCAAUCCCGUAUACGAUUCCCUCUGUCUGUCGGUAUAGAACUUGCCCGAGAUUCGAUCGUCGGUAUGCCUAUACCUUGUUCAAUCUCGUUACCGGUAAGUCUCUUUACUCGAUGCCCAUACGUUGUUCAAUCUCGUUACCGGUAAGUCUCUUUACUCGUUCCGUAGCACGUCAUCGUGUGACUAACUCCUUAGUCACAUUGAGCUCAUGAUGAUGUUCUACCGAGUGGGCCCAGAGAUACCUCUCCGUCACACGGAGUGACAAAUCCCGAUCUUGAUUCGUACCAACCCAACAGACACUUUCAGAGAUACCCGUAAUGCACCUUUAUAGUCACCCAGUUACGUUGUGACGUUUGAUACACCCAAAGCACUCCUACGGUAUCCGGGAGUUGCACAAUCUCACGGUCGAAGGAAAAGACACUUGACAUUAGAAAAGCUUUAGUAUGCGAACAAUACGAUCUAGUGCUAUGCUUAGGAUUGGGUCUUGUCCAUCACAUCAUUCUCCCAAUGAUGUGAUCCCGUUAUCAAUGACAUNNNNNNNNNNNNNNNNNNNNNNNNNNNNNNNNNNNNNNNNNNNNNNNNNNNNNNNNNNNNNNNNNNNNNNNNNNNNNNNNNNNNNNNNNNNNNNNNNNNNAGUCUACCUCGGUGUACUAAUUUUCAUAGUAGUAAGGAUGAAAUUAGCUGGAAGACAAAUGGUGUGUCACACAAAUCGUAUAUUUCAAGUCAAAGGUAUGAUUCAUAUACAAGGUGUGAUUCUACUGUGAGUACGAUUUGAAACAUGCUAUACCCCGAAGAAAGCUAGAAUGUGAUAUGAAUUCACUACUCAACAAGAAGGAUACCCGCACAAACUUUUUCAUACAAGUAUCCAGCAGUCGGAAUAUUAANNNNNNNNNNNNNNNNNNNNNNNNNNNNNNNNNNNAGCAGUCGGAAUAUUAAAGGGUAUAUAUAUGGUAGUAAGUCAACAUAUCCCAGAUAGAAGCUUCUACUGUAAGCAACCUAGUCUGCCCUCACAAGCUACCGAAGAAGCUUACAAUGCAUGAUUCCUCUACCUUCCUCAGUAUGAUACGUGGAUGAAUUCUCGUGCAAGAUACUCAUGCUUCUUCCGUAAGCUACUGCAAAAGCUUCUGGCAUAAGGUAUUGAGUCUUCCCUAGCAAGACUUUAAGGGGGGAAGCUUCUAAAGUACGGUACUCAAUCUUCUUCAACAAGCUGUCUGACAAAAGCUUUGAGCACAAGCUAUUCAACUCGAUACUCUCGAUGUCUUCCAAUGGAAGCCGUCCAACUUUCCUCAAUACGACACCGCUCCAAGAUAUUACACACUAAUAUGGUAAUAUAUGGCAGUACAUCCCAAGAAUCAAAUCCACAAUAGUUUGGUCAGAAGCUAGAAUCAAUCAGAACACAAGUCUACCUCAGGAAUCAAAUACUUCCAUAAACACUAUGAGCAUGCUACCAAAUUCAUGCAAGUCACUCGCACGAUGAUGAAAUAACGGUAAGAAUCCAACAACCUCACGAGUUACGCAAGAGUAAAAAGUGAGUUAUACACUUCAGGGAGUGAUGCAGGGACCGACCAACUUUGUUGAAAGAUAGCGUGAGAAAAUUAUUUUUGGCAGUGCAUAUCCAGGCCAAACAUGGUGAUAUCGUUAACCCUUAUCACGAGCUUGUAUGAUGGACGACAACAAUGAGCUCUCUACAAGCACAUGUGAAUCUAGCAUAUAUCCUAUGGCCCGAGUCGUGAACAAGGCCAAUGUAUGAUGGCCAAAAUAUUGCAUAUGACAGCACCUCUGGUCACAAGAAUUGAAGAUAUAUAUGUGGACAAGAUCCUUCGGCAAAAGGAUCCACACAAAGAAACCAAUAAUGAAGGAGCGAGACCGUCAAUACAAAUAUGCCACUUGUUGCUUGACCAACAAGGUAGAGAUACCAGGACGGUCAGGUUUAGUAUUGUUUACCAUUGACUAUCCACCUAAGGGGUCUACUCCAUCUGUAAGGACCUCAUAUCAAGAUAACCCGCUCAACCAACAUUAUCUGCUCAAAACUGCUAGUAUCGACUAUCCAAGUCUAUCACGUAAAACAAAAGGCCAGCUCAACAGAUUAAAUUCAAUAACCGUGUUAAAGCAUGACAAAUCCUACUAUCCACAAGAAUAUAGCAACCGAAUAAGAAUGUAGUAUGCUAAACAACAGUCUCGAAGCAUGUGCCCUCGCAUAGGGGAAUCAGUUAAAGGAUAGCCUGCCAAGAACAAGAUGCUUCUGUCAGAACCAACGUCUGUUAAGUCUCGAGAUGCUACUAUUAUAAGGCUAUACUCCUUUCUACUGGUCACAACAAACGACAGUCAGACCUUUGGUAUGAAUCUGGUACUCAAGACAGUGGAAAUAUCCAAGAUGAUGAAGGAAUACGAGUGAGAAGUCACACNNNNNNNNNNNNNNNNNNNNNNNNNNNNNNNNNNNNNNNNNNNNNNNNNNNNNNNNNNNNNNNNNNNNNNNNNNNNNNNNNNNNNNNNNNNNNNNNNNNNCUUGGAUAAAAUAGGUCAUUCCGGAGCAAACUAUGCUUAUUAAGCCAGUUUGGAUCUAGCUAGGCUAAUUAUAGGCCAUUUAAUACCUAAAUUAGAGGGAAUUGGUCAUCUUACAACUACGUAAGCCUUAUUAUGUUAUUUAGGAGAGAACUUAGCUAACUGUAGGUCAUUUUUUAUUAAAUAGGUCAUUUUGGAGCUAACUAAGCUAAUUAUGUCAUUUCGUAGGAUAAUUAGCCAAUUUAGCCUUUCUUAGAUGAGUCUAAGCUACGUAGAAGAAGAGAAAGAGAAGAAGAAGUAAAAGAAGGAGGAGGAGGAGGAGGAGGAGAAGGAGAAGGAAGAGGAGAAGAAGAAGAAAAGAAGAAGGAGAAGGAGAAGGAGGAAGAAGAAGGAGAAGGAGGAGCUCCUUCUCCUUCUUCUUAUCCUCCUCCUUCUCCUUCUUCGUAGGAUAAUUAGCCAAUAUAGCCAUUUUGGAGCUAACUAAGUUAAUUAUGUCAUUUAGAUGGAAGUCUAGUUAUUUUUUAUUAAAACACNNNNNNNNNNNNNNNNNNNNNNNNNNNNNNNNNNNNNNNNNNNNNNNNNNNNNCUAGAAAUAACAUAACAUUAUCGUCAUCACAGCGGUGAAGCACGGUGGCUCUGGCUUGUUUCACCUGGAGAAGGCUGCCAUGGAGAAGGCUCGACUGUAGAAGGGUCGUGCGAUGCUUUUUGGGAGAUAUUCUGCACCAAACAUCAUUUGCAAUGUGUAGUUAGCAUGAGGACACUCUUAAGAUCACUGCACUGAAAUGAAACUCACCAUCCCCGCCACGUUAAUGACUGGCAUCGGCGGAGGGACUUGGUCGCUCUUCUCGCACAUAGACUGUACAUUUGGUUUCGACAAGUCAAACUUUUUAUUUAUUAAUGAAACGGACAUUCAAAUGCAAGAUUUGAAAUAACAUGAAGAAGAAACUUACCACGAAGAGCUCGUAUAUGGCCCUGUUAGACGCAUCAUUCCGUGCCCUCUCCGCCUCCACCAAUGCAGUCGUCCUCUCCUCCAGCUCCCUAAUUUCCUUAUCCUUCUCCGCCAUAGCCGCCUGCAUUGCCUCUCUCUCUUUCUGAAUAGCAGCCUGCAACACAACUCGUUGUUAGCAAUGUAAUCAUAUUGGUUCCAACGCACAACAUAAUGCGGAAAGAUAGUUGAGUCCAUUAAACUAACCUCGAUGGUGAGCUCGAGGUCGUGGAUGACGUGUUAUCUCCGUACAAGAGCUCGUUUGGCAUGCCUUUAUCUACCGGAGAGUGCUAGGACAACGUAUAAGGUCGUCUCCAAUGGAGAUCGAGCCAUGGGGCCUCCCGUUGCCAGCUAUCAUCACCAGCUCUGGAUCAAUAGGCCCCCCGCUCGGGUUAAAGUCCUCCCCUUUCCUCGCCUUCCCGUGAUCUCUGUACUUCACGAGCUUGUGGUGGGAGGCGAUGUUGGUGAAGUUUUCUGGAUGCUUGUGGUGGGAGGAGAUGUUGGUGAAGUUUUCUGGAUGCUCGAGGUCAGACUCAGAGAAUGCCUUGACCUUCUUUUACGAGGCAGUAUGGGCCAUCGCAUACAGGUCGUACAUCUGUGGCACCUCCGUCUUAUUGUGAUGCGACUAAAAGAGAGAGAGAGGAAAUUGUAUUCGUAGAGGGCUCAAGAUAGCAUUAAGAAUGAACUGCAUGAGGCAUGAAGCAAACCACAUACCGAGUUCUCGCCAAAUUGGAUUAAGUUGAUGCUCCCUUGAUGGUGUGGNNNNNNNNNNNNNNNNNNNNNNNNNNNNNNNNNNNNNNNNNNNNNNNNGGCACGCCAACCAUUUUGCCACGCCUCUCCUUGGCGUUGUUGUGGCUGGCCUCCCAUGUUUCGGAGCACCACUGGUCCACCAAUGCCUCCCAACAAUCCAUCUUAUCCACACACCAUCUCGGGGGCACCUAAGUUAAUAAAGAGAAAUUUGAGCGCGUAAGAACCAAAUCAAGGAAACUAACUACAAAGCCUUAAUAAUAUGUAAUUACCUUCAUGUAAUUCUCCUUCUCCAUCUUAGCGUCACGGCACUUCGCCUUGUCAAUCCUAAUACGCCACGUGGCAUAGUAGUCUCGAACACCCUGCACCCGAGCCUCGUGCCGAAAGUUUUGAAGUAGGCGGCGACAUUCGGUUUCGAUAACCUUUGUUGCGUCCUCCUCGUAUCCCUCGUCACACCUGUAGUAGGUCUGCAAACGAGGCAACACCGAUUAGUACAAUAAAUAGCUAUGGUUGAUUUAUAAUUGUGUGAAGGAGAAAUUACCCAGAACUUUCGGAUCACCAUGUCCGCCCUCGUGUCGCACAAAACACCGUCGAUCUCCACCUCCGGCGGGGCCGGGGCACCCAAGUAGUGCUCCCAGGUCAUUCCUACCUCUCGCUCCCGACCGGGAAACGUAACAAACCCUGGGAAGUUUUUACGGCAAAGCGCACCAAGGACGCUGUUGGGUUUGCGGACCCCCUUGGCAACAAUCCAACCCCUACAGUAUGACAAAUUAAAGACAAAACAUUAGAUAUUUGGGAAAACGCGAAGGCAAAAGGUUAAAUAAGAGUAAAUUAACUUACUUGUCCCCAUUUGGCCUAAUCGACCACCUGUGCUCGGGGUUCGCUGGCACGAGCGGGAGCCCCGAACUACCACACUGGUAGACAAUAGCCCCCUCACCUAUCUCCUCGUCGCUACCAGCAUCCGACUAGGUCUCUUANNNNNNNNNNNNNNNNNNNNNNNCAUCCGACUAGGUCUCUUAGGACGUACCCUCAUCCCUUCUUUGCUCCGGAGUCGCCUGGAAUGAAGCCUCUGGGACACGAGUCUCAUGGGUCGAAGGCUCGUCGACCUAAGGCUCGUCGACCCGAGGCUCGUGCACUGGAUAUAGUGUAGCCUCCACCUCAGACGAAUCCACCCUAGAAGUCCUGUGCUUAGGUGAAUCAGCGUGGGGUGGUGGCGAAGACCGUGUAGCCGCCACCUCAGAAGGCGUGGCAGCCACCGCCCUACCUCUCCUGCGGCCACGUGUACCUUUAGUACUACAUAAAUACCAACAUGAGUAAUAAAAUGUAUAUAAAUACCAUUAUGCAUACAACAUGAGUACAACAUAAAUACCAACAUGAAUACAACGUGUACCUUUAGUACCUCUCGGCUUCGCGGGGGGUCGACCUCCUCUCACGGGGGGUGCUCCUUGCAUAGUAGAGAGCAACACUCUCCGAAGAGGCGAGGCAGGAAUGGAAGUACCCAUCCCAUCACCCACCGACGAAGAAGGAGCCGCGGAGUGCUUUCGACCCUUUCCCACCAUCUUUCAACACCUGUCAUGACAAAGGGUAAAUGAAAUUAGUACAAAAUAAAUACCAACAUGAGUAAUAAAAUGUAUAUAAUUUAAGUGUAUCAUCAUCAUAAAUACCAACANNNNNNNNNNNNNNNNNNNNNNNNNNNNNNNNNNNNNNNNNNNNNNNNNNNNNNNNNNNNNNNNNNNNNNNNNNNNNNNNNNNNNNNNNNNNNNNNNNNNACCAAAUUAGGUCUUACUUUUAUGUAGUUUCCUUGGUGAUAUUCAUAUGCCUCUGUUAUACUUUACUUGAUGUUAAGUUAUAUGCUAUGUGACAUGAUAGCAAGUCAGGAAGGCUGAAAGUGGGAGGCCAUGUUGAACGCAACGAUUAUUGAUACACUUAGGCUAUUAGGAAACCAAGAUCUUGAAAUAUAUUUUUCUAAGAAUGAGCACACUAUCCAUACGCAGGACAUUAUGGGAGCCCAUGGACACUUUCUACAGUUGUAAAUUGUCCACGGGUCAUAAUGGUGUUGUACUAUUUGUAUGUAUUGUUUUGCAGGUAUGAGGAGACGUUCCAUGGUAAUGGUAUGAUUUUACCAUUAGGGUGUUUUUUCCCAUGAUGUUCCUUUGGGCCCGCAUGUGUAGGACUUCCCCACUAGUCCUAAAAUUGUGUGGUUGCGAAUGGCUAUGCUCGGACUCGACACUAGCCACGUGUCACUGGUGUGACACAAUUGGAUCCGAUUCAGAGAUAUAUCUCCCCGACUAGGAUGUAGUAACGAAGUACGUAUCAUUUGUUUGAAACUACGUAGCUUAGCCCGUCGUGGGUCACAACAUAAGGUCGGCGAGCAUGUGUUGUCAUGCCAUUCAGAACUUUAGCUGCUAUCACAAGAAAUGGGCGCCCCCCGUGGGUCAGUUCUUGUUGUGAACAACGUGUGUAUGGAGCUUAUAGUGGGUAUGCAUGGUUAAGGAUGACUUGAGCUUUAUGACAGUUCAUAAGAUAACUUCAAUCAUACUCGCCAAAACUUGUCCGCCCUUAAACUUCAUGUUAAUUGCAUGUUCUACUUCAACCAUAAUUAAUGGAAACCCGUGCACCACAUGAGUGACAUGGGGUAAUUCCUUGGGGAGGGUGUCAGGGAGGAUUCGUGGUGGUGGUAUGCUUGACAGUUGGAUAGAAUGCUCAUGUGCACACAACACUUGUGUUGUGAUGCAUGAAAUUUGGGACAUGUGGUCCUUUGGUUCUCAUGUUGUUCCACUAGACAUAAGUUGUAGCAUUGCCUAGUGCUUGCAACUUCACCACUCAUCCUUUCCAUACCUAUCGGUAUUGUUAUUUGUAGUACCCUUGGUAAUGAUACUUUUCAAGUACCCUGGUACUCACCCUUACCAUAAUAACAGGUUGCAUAUAUUGUGAUGGAUAAUGUUAGCUUGGUUGUCCUUCGGACAAUGGUCUUGGCAAGGUAAUGGACGCAUUUGCUUUUAUUUGAGCCUUCUUGACGCAAUUUGUAUUCUUGCUUCUCCGCCUCCCCCAUAUGAAUUGGACUUUGGUCAUAAGACCCUGAAUGUAUCAAAUAUUGCAUAUGUAUGUAUCUUGUUGUAUGCGGAACUUAUAAUNNNNNNNNNNNNNNNNNNNNNNNNNNNNNNNNNNNNNNNNNNNNNNNNNNNNNNNNNNNNNNNNNNNNNNNNNNNNNNNNNNNNNNNNNNNNNNNNNNNNUCACCUACAUGCUACGUCAACAACAUCAUUCGAAGGUAUGUACUCAUUCGAAGUGAUAUGAGGAGAUCGAAAUUCUUAAUCGAAAAAAUGGUAAACCAAUUUCGCGCUUAACGAUGAGUAUGACCUAUGAUCAAGCAUCCUUGCUUGACUCCUCAAGUCAAAUACUCUAAUAUACACUACAGGAAUUAGCUUCUUUGCCAUCUUCCAUCACAGACGGCAAAGAGUAUAUCACAGACUGCAAAGAGUAUAUCACAAACGGCAAAGAAUCUCACUGUCGACAAAAUUUCCGCGUUAGCCUACGACAACAUUGUAGCUUCUUUGUCGUCUGCUUCACCGAAACGGACGGCAAAGCUCUUUGCCGUGAGCUUUCCAUGAGAGCAGUCGGCAAAUAUGUCGAGACGGUAGCCGGCAGGCGUUGCCUCCGUUAGGGACUAACGGAGGCUUUGCCGUCUGCCUCCCCUCUUCUGUGCCGUCUGCCCCCCCCCCUCUUCUUUGCCAUAUGCCUCCCCCUCCUCUGUGCCAUCUGCCUCCCCCCUCUUCUUUGUCGUCUGCAUCCCCCCUCUUCUGUGCGGUCUACCUCCCCCUCUUCUUUGCCGUCAGCCUCCACCUCCUCCCCCCCUCCUCUCUGCCCUCUUCUUUGCCGUCUACCCCCUCCCUUGAAGCAGACGGCAAAGAUACUAUAUGUCCAGCUGCUGCUGCCCAGGUUGCACAGCUGGGUGCCACGUGGCACCUUUGCCGUCGGUCAGCUGAUGGCAAAGGCCUUUGCCAUCAGCUGGCAGACGGCAAAGAGCCUAUAUUGUCACAUUUUUGUUUAUUUUUUCUAUUUCAUAGCACAUAUAUAUAUAAUUCAUAGCACAUCUAUGAUAAAUAGGUCACAACACAUAUAUGAUAUACAUAUAAAGCUCAUCAAUGCCAUUUGUUCAUCAAAGUACAUCACAUAUAUUAAAAGAACCAACACAUACAAAGUUUCGUCCAUAUAUACAUACAUAUAGUUGCACAUAUAUUGUUCAUCCAUAUAUACAUAUACAUAUAGUUCCACAUUGUUCAUCAACUCAAAUAAAAACGGGAACUAAAGCACUCCAAUGCCAGCUUCCAUGCAUGUAGUACAUCCAAUCUGCAAAAUGGGAAUAAGAAACACAGAAGAAGAAGAAGAAGAAGAACAUAUAUAUGACAAAUAAGCUAAAUUGAAGAAGAAAGAGAAGAAGCAAGAAGAGAACAAGGAGAAGAAAAACAAGGAGGAGGAGGAGGAGGAGGAGGGGAAGGAGAAGGACAAGGAGGAGGAGAAGAAGAAAAAAGAAGAAGAGAAGAAGAAGGAGAAGAAGGAGGAGAAGGAGGAGAGAAGAAGAAGGAGAAGAAGGAUGGCUCCUUCUCCUUCUUCUCCUCCUUCUCCUCCUCCUCCUUCUUCUUCUCCUUCUCCUUCUCCUUCUCUUCUUCUUCUCUUCUUUUUCUUCUUCUUCCUUCUUUUCAUUUCUCCUCUUCUUGGAGCUAAAUUAGCUAACUAUGUCUUUUCGCAGCUAAAUGGGCUAAUUAUGUCAUUCUAGCGGAAAACAAGCUAAGUAUAUAAUAUUAAUGAGCUAAUCAAGGUUCUUAUGCCAUUUUGAGCUUAUUAUGUCUUUUAGGAGCUUAAUUAGUCAUUUUAUUGAGCUAACCAAGGUUCUUAUGAUGUUUUUACCUAACUAAGCUAAUUAUGUCAUUUUGGAUGAUAAUUGGCUAAGUAUGUCUUUGUUGGGGAAAAUAAGCUAAAUUGAAGAAGAAGAGGAGAAGAAGGAGGGAAGAAGAAGGAGAAUAAGGAGGGCUCCUUCUCCUCCUUCUCCUUCUUCUCUUCUUCUUCUCCUCCUCCUUCUUCUCCUUCUCCUUCUCUUCUCUUUCUCUUCUUCUUUUUGUUCUUCCUUUUUAUUUCUCCUCUUCUCCUCUUCUUGGAGCUAAAUUAGCUAACUAUGUCAUUAUAGAGGAAAACAAGCUAAGUAUAUAAUAUUAAUGAGCUAACCAAGGUUCUUAUGCCAUUUUGAGCUUAUAAUGUCUUUUUGGAGCUAAAUUGUCUAAUUAUGUCAUUGUUGGGGAAAUUAAGGCAAGGAGAAUAUGAAAGAAGAAAAGAAAGAGGAGGAGGAGAAGAAGAAGAAGAAAUAAAGAAGGAGGAGGAGAAGGACUAGAAGGUCCUUGGCCUUCUCCUCCUUCUCCUCCUCCUCCUCCUCCUCCUUCUCCUUCUUCUNNNNNNNNNNNNNNNNNNNNNNNNNNNNNNNNNNNNNNNNNNNNNNNNNNNNNNNNNNNNNNNNNNNNNNNNNNNNNNNNNNNNNNNNNNNNNNNNNNNNGGAGGAGGAGAAGGACUAGAAGGUCCUUGGCCUUCUCCUCCUUCUUCUCCUCCUCCUCCUCCACCUCCUCCUUCUUCUCCUCCUCCUUCUUCUCCUUCUCCUUCUCUUCUCUUUUUCUUCUUUUUUGUUCUUCCUUUUCAUUUCUCCUCUUCUUGGAGCUAAAUUAGCUAACUAUGUCAUUAUAGAGGAAAACAAGCUAAGUAUAUAAUAUUAAUGAGCUAACCAAGGUUCUUAUGCCAUUUUGAGCUUAUAAUGUCUUUUUGGAGCUAACCAAGGUUUUUAUGCCAUUAAGGAGAAUAAGGAGGAGGAGGAGGAGGAGAAGGACUAGAAGGUCCUUGGCCUUCUCCUCCUUCUCCUCCUCCUCCUCCUCCUUCUCCUUCUUCUCUUCUUCUUCUUUCUUUUCAUUUUUCCUAUUUAUUCUCCUCUUCACCUCUUCUUGGAGCUAAAUUAGCUAAAUAUGUCUUUUUGGAGCUAAAUGGUAUAAUUAUCCCAUUUUAGAGGAAAACAAGCUAAGUAUAUAAUAUUAAUAAGCUAACCAAGCUUCUUAUGCCAUUUUGAGGUUAUUAUGGCAUUUUGGAGCUAAAUGGUCUAAUUAUGUCAUUGUUGGGGAAAUUAAGGAAAGGAUAAUAUGAAAGAGGAGAAGAAAGAGGAGGAGGAGAAGAAGAAGAAGAAAUAAAGAAGAAGGAGGAGAAGGAGGAGGAGGAGGAGAAGGACUAGAAGGUCCUUGGCCUUCUCCUCCUGCUCCUCUUCCUCCUCCUCCUCCUUCUCCUUCUUCUCUUCUUCUUCUUUCUUUUCGANNNNNNNNNNNNNNNNNNNNNNNNNNNNNNNNNNNNNNNNNNNNNNNNNNNNNNNNNNNNNNNNNNNNNNNNNNNNNNNNNNNNNNNNNNNNNNNNNNNNCCGCGUAAUGCCCCGGGGUAACCCUGAGGCCUUCUGGACCCCCUCCCGAGGAGCCUCCAACACUGGCACAGGCGGCGCUACUAAAGGAGAGGCGCCACAAAGAACAAGAGGCCCCGAAGGCUGCUGCACAGCUGCGAGCGUCAGCACCUUCAGAGGCCGGGGAUCCUUGGAGGCCAGUUCUCCAUGCAACGGCGUCCCCACGCUCACCAGAGGAUGCUUCGGGGGCUCGGGGGGCUUGACGACCAAGGCCAGGGAGGCCGCCCAAAGAUCCCCUCCUCCUCCUCCUUACCCGUAGACGGUGAUGUGUCGACAAGGGCAGGCGGGGCAUCGAGAGACGCCUUCGGCCUAGCAACCGUCUUCUUCUUCUUCGGCGUGAGACCAAAUCAGCGUUCGCCCAUGCUCACUGGACUCACCCACGGUCCAUGGAAGCACCGAGACGAGAUCCGCCUCCUUGGAGAGGGCGCAGUCCAGGAGCGGAGAAGUUGGGGCCAGGCCAUGCCCCUCUGGCUUAUACUUGCCGGUGGUGCCAUCGCUGGAUUGUCGAGUAACUAUGCGACACUGGAUCUGGGAGGCAUCGGCCGGAGUCAAAGGCUUAAGAAGAAAGACGAGUGCGGUAAAAGGAAGGCAAUAAGGCACCGAAGCUACAAGCAGGGCACCUAAUAAAGGGGGCAGAGAUAGAGGACAAGGAGGCAUGGACGCCAUCCGCGUGUCGUGCGCCGGCCUGGACCAUAGGUGUUUGAGGGCCCACGACGUCUCAUGCUACCCCUCAAGGCUCCUCCCUGAAGCCAACCCGAGCACACCGCAUGUCCGGCGGCUACUGUCGGCCUUCUGGGACUCGGGGUACCCAGACCUGCCUGCCUGUGGCCCAGGACGGGCCCGCUUCACUAGAGUGACGCAACAAGCCCAGUGAUAACCCACAAGUAUAAGGGAUCACAACAGUUUUCGAGGGUAGAGUAUUCAACCCAAACAUAUUGAUUCGACACAAGGGGAAGCCAAAGAAUAUUCUCAAGUAUUAGCAGUUGAGUUGUCAAUUCAACCACACCUAAAAGACUUAGUAUCUGCCGCAAAUCUAUCAGUAGCAAGGUAGUGUGAUAGCAACAGUAACCAGUAGCAACAAAGUGACAGCAGUGGUGACAGAGUAACAGUAGCAGCAGUAACAACAGUAGCGGCAAAGUAACGUAGCAAGGACCAGUAGGAAAAACUCGUAGGCAUUGGAUCAGUGAUGGAUGAUUAUGCCAGAAGGUAUUCAUCAUGCAACAGUUAUAACACGGNNNNNNNNNNNNNNNNNNNNNNNNNNNNNNNNNNNNNNNNNNNNNNNNNNNNNNNNNNNNNNNNNNNNNNNNNNNNNNNNNNNNNNNNNNNNNNNNNNNNCUUAAUGCUUAAUAUGUAAGCAGCCUCUCCUAGGUAAUUCGUUGAAAAACAUUAGUUCAAGUAAUCCUUUACACUCUCUAAAAACUCCACAUUGUUUUCAAUCAGCAAUAUGUCAUCCACAUAUAACAUUAGAAACGCUACAGAGCUCCCACUCACUUUCUUGUAUAUAGAAGAUUCUCCAACAACUUGUAUAAUCCCAAAUGUCUUGAUCACCUCAUCAAAGCGUUUAUUCCAACUCCGAAAUGCUUGCACCAGUCCAUAAAUAGAUCGCUAGAGCUUGCAUACUUUGCUAGCAUUCUUUGGAUCGACAAAACCUUCGGAUUGCAUCAUAUACAAGUCUUCCUUAAGAAACCAUUAAGGAACCCCAUUUUGACAUCCAUCAUCAUAUACAAGUCUUCCUUAAGAAACCAUUAAGGAACACCAUUUUGACAUCCAUCUGCCAAAUUUCAUAAUCGAAAUAUGCAGCAAUUGCUAACAUGAUUCGGACGGACUUAAGCAUCGCUACCAGUGAUAAUGUAUCAUCGUAGUCAACAACUUGAACUUGUGAAAAUACUUUUUCCACAAGUCGAGCUUUAUAAAAGGUCACAUUACCAACCGCGUCCGUCUUCUUGAAGAUCCAUUUGUUCUGAAUAGCCUUGCAACCUUCAGGUAAUACUUCCAAAGUCCACACUUUGUUUUCAUACAUAGACCCUAUCUCGGAUUUCAUGGCCUCUAGCCAUUUAUUGGAAUCAGGGCCCACCAUUGCUUCUUCAUAAUUCGCAGGCUCGUUGUUGUCUAACAACAUGAUAGAUAAGACAGGAUUUCCGUACCACUCAGGAGCAGUACGUGAUCUGGUCGACCUGCGAGGUCCGAUAGUAACUUGAUCCGAAACUUCAUGAUCACCAUCAUUAGCUUCCUCCUCAACCGGUGUUUCCUCGACACAGAUUUCCCUCUGCCCCGCGCCACCAUCUUGAGCGAGCAGAGGUUCCAAAACCUCAUCAAUUCUUUCGAGAGAAACUAUUUCUCAAGAAAAGCUUCGUUCUUAGAAACAAACACUUUGCCCUCGGAUCUGAGAUAGAAGGUGUACCCAACUGUCUCUUUUGGACAACUAUGAAGACGCACUUUUCCGCUUUGGGUUCCAGCUUUUCAGGCUGAAGCUUUUUGACAUAAGCAUCGCAUCCACAAACUUUAAGAAACGACAACUUUGGCAUCUUGCCACACCAUAGUUCAUAUGGUGUCGUCUCAACGGAUUUUGAUGGUGCCCUAUUUAAAGUGUAUGCAGAUGUCUCUAAUGCAUAACCCCAAAACGAUAAUGGCAAACCGGUAAGAUACAUCAUAGAUCGCACCAUAUCUAACGAAGUAGGAUUACGACGUUUGGACACACCAUUACGAUGUGGUGUUCCAGGCGGUGUCAACUGUGAAACAAUUCCAAAUUGUCUUAAGUGAGCACCAAACUCAAAACUCAGAUAUUCGCCCCCUCGAUCAGAUCAUAGGAACUUAAUCUUCUUGCUACGAUGAUUUUCAACUUCACUUUGAAAUUGCUUGAAGUUUUGAAAUGUUUCAGACUUGUACUUCAUCAAGUAGAUAUAUCCAUAGCUACUCAAAUCAUCAGUGAAGGUGAGAAAAUAACGAUAUCCGUAGCGCGCCUCCACACUCAUUGGCCCGCACACAUCAGUAUGUAUGAUCUCCAACAAGUCACUUGCACGCUCCAUUGUUCCGGAGAAUGGAGUCUUAGUCAUCUUGCCCAUGAGGCAUGGUUCGCACUUGUCAAGUGAUUCGAAAUCAAGUGACUCCAAAAUUCCAUCAGCAUGGAUUUUCUUCAUGCGCUUUACACCAAAAUGACCUAAGCAGCAGUGCCACAAAAAGGUUGCGCUAUCAUUGUUAACUCUACAUCUUUUGGUCUCAAUGUUAUGGAUAUGUGUGUCAUCAUAAUCAAGAUUCAAUAUGAACAAACCCCUCACAUUUGGUGCAUGACCAUAAAAGAUAUUACUCAUAAAAAUAGAACAACCAUUNNNNNNNNNNNNNNNNNNNNNNNNNNNNNNNNNNNNNNNNNNNNNNNNNNNNNNNNNNNNNNNNNNNNNNNNNNNNNNNNNNNNNNNNNNNNNNNNNNNNAACACAGUUUUGAACUCAAAAGGACAUGCAUAUAUUUGAGCCACCCAAUGCAAGGAACAAAAGAUUUGGUGUCCACCGGAAAAAAAUAUUCACAAUUCCAUCGAAUGUUGUUAGUGCUGGAUGCCACAUUUGUAGAAAAAUCAGGCUCAGACUUGUGAGAAGGAGAUAUACCUCACUCAUGAUGAUCUAUCACGCACAGCUAAGCCGAUAGAUAAGAAAUUAAUUGGCGACCGUAUUGUCGGAUUUCGGGCUCCACAAAGCCCUAAGGAUCCGAACANNNNNNNNNNNNNNNNNNNNNNNNNNNNNNNNNNNNNNNNNNNNNNNNNNNNCUAAGGAUCCGAACACUGGGGCGUGUAUGAAGAUCUCCCCUGCUUCGCCUCGCAUGUCUCACUACUCGAUGGAAACAAUGAAGGACUCACUCGAAGGUUCAGGCCGCUGCGAAGCAUAAAACACUACACCUGCUUUGAUGGAUUGCCUCUCUCUGAGGUUGAGGAACGAGAUGGUACACGACUUUUGCGCCUCCAGAGGCCAAGUGGCUAAGCGUGCUGCUCUAGGGUUUCGAUCCCCUCUCUCAACUAUCCUACCCUAUCUAUUUAUAGUGGAGGCCCGGGUCCUCUUCCCUNNNNNNNNNNNNNNNNNNNNNNNNNNNNNNNGGGUCCUCUUCCCUCUUAGCUUUGGCGGGAAGGGAUUCCACAACGACCAAUUUUGAAGGGGAACAUGCUCCCCUAACAAGAGAUGGUCUUCACCUGCAAAGUAAUUGUCCACCCCAUAGAGACCGGCUCGUGGAUGACGUUUGCCCUACUGGCGGGAGACUGCGGCUUUGUUGCACCAGAAGAUAAACCUUUGGGGGAUGCCUUUGGGAAGCAUGUACGCCCCACCUCCUUUGCACCAAAGGGGAAACUAUCUCGUCCUGCCAUAUGCUGCUCGCCUAUCCUUCCCUGGUGUCACCCUUGACUGCCGAGGACCGGCCCUGCCUCGUAAUAUCCACCAAUCCGGACGGGUCCUGAAGAGGCCCCCCUACGGGUCUUGACGCUGCUCCUCCUCAUGAGGCUUAGCUCCUCACGAGGGCCUGCCCUUAAGCCGUGCUGGGUGAUACGUCUCCAUCGUAUCUACUUUUCCAAACUCUUUUUCCCUUGUUUUGCACUCUAGUUUGCAUGAUUUGAAUGGAACUAACCCGGACUAAUGUUGUUUUCAGUAGAAUUGUCAUGGUGUUGUUUUUGCGCAGAAAUAAAAGUUCCCGGAAUGACCUGAAAAUUUACGAAGAAUUUUUUGUGGAAUAUAUAAAAAAUACUAGCGCAAGAAUCAACCGAAGAAGUGGAGCGUGGAGCCCACAAGCCCACCAGGCGUGCCCCCCUGGCCGCGCCUAACAGGUUUGUGGGGCCCACAUUGCUCCACCGCCUCCCAUUCCACCNNNNNNNNNNNNNNNNNNNNNNNNNNNNNNNNNNNNNNNNNNNNNNNNNNNNNNNNNNNNNNNNNNNNNNNNNNNNNNNNNNNNNNNNNNNNNNNNNNNNGAGCACAUACUCAAAAUGUUUGGGUUACACGGUCGUCUGACUUCACUUGGAGUCGAACUUCCGGAUGAUGCUAUAAUUGACUGAAUCCUCCAGUCUCUCCCAUCAAGCUACAAAGGCUUUGUGCUUAACUACAACAUGCAAGGGAUGGAGAAGACCAUUCCCGAGUUGUACUCGAUACUCAAGUCUGCAGAAGUAGAAAUCAAGAAAGAGCAUCAAGUGUUGAUGGUCAACAAGACCACUAGUUUCAAGAAGGGCAAGGGUAAGAAGAACUUCAAGAAAGACGGCAAAGCUGUUGCUGCGCCCGGUAAGCCAGAUGCUGAGAAGAAGAAAAAGAAUGGACCCAAGCCUGAGACUGAGUGCUUCUAUUGCAAGGGAAAAGGUCACUGGAAGCGGAACUGCCCCAAAUACUUAGCGGACAAGAAGGCCGGCAACGUUAAAGGUAUAUGUGAUAUACAUGUUAUUGAUGUGUACCUUACCAGCGCUCUUAGUAGCUCCUGGGUAUUUGAUACCGGUGUUGUUGCUCACAUUUGCAACUCAAAGCAGGAACUGCGGAAUAAGCGGAGACUGGCCAAGGACGAGGUGACGAUGCGCGUCGGGAAUUGUUCAAAGGUCGAUGUGAUCGCCGUCGGCACGCUACCUCUACAUCUACAAUCGGGAUUAGUUUUGAACCUUAAUAAUUGUUAUUUAGUACCAGCUUUAAGCAUGAACAUUGUAUCAGGGUCUUGCUUAAUGCGAGACGGCUACUCAUUUAAGUGAGAGAAUAAUGGUUGUUCUAUUUAUAUGAGUGAUAUGUUUUAUGGUCAUGCUCCGCUGGUAAAUGGUUUAUUCUUGAUGAAUCUCGAUCGUGAUGUUACACAUAUUCAUAGUGUGAGUACCAGAAAAUGUAAAGUUGAUAAUGAUAGUCCCACAUACUUGUGGCACUGCCGCCUUGGUCAUAUCAGCGUUAAGCGCAUGAAGAAGCUCCAUACAGAUGGACUAUUAGAGUCUCUUGACUUUGAAUCAUUUGACACAUGCGAACCGUGCCUCAUGGGCAAGAUGACUAAGACUCCAUUCUCAGGAAUAAUGGAGAGAGCAACCGACUUAUUGGAAAUAAUACAUACCGAUGUGUGUGGUCCAAUGAACGUUGAAGCUCGCGGUGGUUAUCGUUAUGUUCUCACUCUCACCGAUGAUUUGAGUAGGUAUGGGUAUAUCUACUUGAUGAAGCACAAAUCUGAGACGUUUGAAAAGUUCAAGGAAUUUCAGAGUGAGGUUGAGAAUCAACGUGACAGAAAAAUUAAAUGUCUACGAUCUGAUCGUGGAGGAGAAUAUUUGAGUCACGAGUUUGGCACACACCUAAGGAAGUGUGGAAUCGUUUCACAACUGACGCCNNNNNNNNNNNNNNNNNNNNNNNNNNNNNNNNNNNNNNNNNNNNNNNNNNNNNNNNNNNNNNNNNNNNNNNNNNNNNNNNNNNNNNNNNNNNNNNNNNNNCAUUGUGAUCUAUUUAUUCACACAUGUAUUACUGUUUCCUGUUAAUACAAUUAUAGCAUGAACAAUAGACGAUUAUCAUGAACAAGGAAAUAUGAUAAUAACCAUUUUAUUAUUGCCGCUAGGGCAUAUUUCCAACAGUCUCCCACUUGCACUAGAGUCGAUAAUCUAGUUACAUUGUGAUGUAUCGAACACCCAUAGCAUUAUGGUGUUGAUCAUGUUUCGCUCGUGGAAGAUGUUUAGUCAACGGGUCUGCAAUAUUCAGAUCCGUGUGUACUUUACAAAUAUCUAUCACUCCACUCUGGACAUGGUCCUGGAUGGAGUUGUAGCGGCAUUUGAUGUGCUUUGUCUUCCGGUGAAAUCUGGGUUCCUUGGCUAUGGCAAUGGCCCCAGUGUUAUCACAGAAGAGUGUCAUUGGACCCGACGCGCUUGGAACCACUCCAAGGUCGGUGAUGAGCUCCUUCAUCCAAAUUCCUUCAUGAGCUACUUUUGAAGAAGCUAUGUACUCCGCUUCACAUGUAGAUGCUGCCACGACUUCUUGCUUGCUACUGCACCAGCUCACCGCCCCACCAUUCAACACAUAUACGUAUCCGGUCUGUGACUUAGAGUCAUCCGGAUCUGUGUCGAAGCUAGCGUCGACGUAACCCUUUACGACGAGCUCUUCGUCACCUCCAUAAACGAGAAACAUUUCCUUAGUCCUUUUCAUGUACUUAAGGAUAUUCUUGACCGCUGUCCGGUGCUCCAUACCGGGAUCACUUUGGUACCUCCCUACCAAGCUUAUGGCAAGGUUUAUAUGAGGUUGGGUACACAGCAUGGCAUACAUUAGAGAGCCCACGGCUGAUGCGUAGGGGACAUAACUCAUCUUCUCUCUAUCUGCUGCCGUGGUCGGCGACUGAGUCUUAGUCAAUCUCAUAGCUUGCAAAACUGGCAAGAACCCUUUCUUUGAGUUUUCCAUAUUGAACUUCAAUAUCUUGUCAAGGUAUGUACUUUGCGAAAGACCUAUGAGGCAUCUCGAUCUAUCUCUAUAGAUCUUGAUGCCUAAUAUGUAUGCAGCUUCUCCAAGGUCCUUCAUUGAAAAACUCUUGUUCAAAUAGGCCUUUAUGCUCUCCAACAUCUCUAUAUUAUUCCCCAUCAAUAAUAUGUCAUCCACAUACAGUAUGAGGAAAGCUACAGAGUUCCCACUCACUUUCUUGUACAGUCAGGCUUCUCCGUAAACCUGUAUGAACCCAAACGCUUUAAUCACCUCAUUAAAGCGAAUGUUCCAACUCCGAGAUGCUUGCACCAGCCCAUAGAUGGAGCGCUGGAGCUUGCACACUUUGCUAGCACCCUUAGGGUNNNNNNNNNNNNNNNNNNNNNNNNNNNUUGCUAGCACCCUUAGGGUCGACAAAACCUUCUGGUUGCGUCAUAUACAACUCUUCCUUAAGGUUCCCGUUAAGGAACACUGUUUUGACGUCCAUUUGCCAAAUUUCAUAAUCAUAAAAGGUGACAAUUGCUAACAUGAUUCGGACUGAUUUCAGCUUCGCUACGGGAGAGAAAGUCUCUUCGUAGUCAACUCCUUGAAUUUGUCGAAAACCCUUUGCGACAAGUUGAGCUUUGUAAAUGGUUACAUUACCGUUUGCAUCAGUCUUCUUCUUGAAGAUCCAUUUACUUUCUAUGGCUCGCCGCUCAUUGGGCAAUUCCACCAAAGUCCAUACUUUGUUCUCACACAUGGAUCCUAUCUCGGAUUUCAUAGCCUCAAGCCAUUUGUUGGAAUCCGGGCCCGCCAUCGCUUCUUCAUAGUUCGAAGGUUCACCGUUGUCUAACAACAUGAUUUCCAUCACAGGGCUGCCGUACCACUCUGGUGCGGAGCGUGCCCUUGUGGACCUUCGCGGUUCAGUAGUAACUUGAUCCGAAGCUUCAUGAUCAUCAUCAUUAACUUCCUCUUCAGUUGGUGUAGGCGCCACAGGAACAACUUCCCGCGUUGAGCUACUAUCCUGUUCGAGAGGGGGUGUAAUUACCUCAUCAAGUUCUACCUUCCUCCCACUUACUUCUUUCGAGAGAAACUCUUUCUCUAGAAAGGAUCCGUUCUUGGCAACAAAGGUUUUACCUUCGGAUCUAAGNNNNNNNNNNNNNNNNNNNNNNNNNNNNNNNNNNNNNNNNNNNNNNNNNNNNNNNNNNNNNNNNNNNNNNNNNNNNNNNNNNNNNNNNNNNNNNNNNNNNGUGAUAGUGAUGAUGAUGAUGCAUUUAUUGAUGAUGAUUAUUAGUUUGUAAGAUUCACAACUUAAAUUAUAUAUAUUUUAAUCUUUAUUAUUCAUGUACAUAUUAUUAUUCAUGUCAGUUAUUCAAUUUUUUUAUGUUGUACUAAUUUCUUUUAAUCUUUAUCAUGGCAGGUCACCUGGUGUUGAAAGAUGGUGGGCGCUGGUCCAGAGCGCUCGACGGGUUCUUCCCAGCCGCCCCGCACGAGGGGUGGUACUUCCCUUCCACCCCUAUGUCUCCGUAGAGCCUUGGCAGACAGUCUGUCGACACCACCCGUGGGUUCUUCUUCGUCGGCGGCAUUGCCCACUGGGAGAGGUGCUCUUCGGGUAGGGAAGAAGGGGAAGGGUACAUGGAGAGGUGGUGGCCACGGAAGAUCCAGGAGGACUGUUGAGCCGUCCUCGCCACCACCACCAGCUCAUUCACCCGAGCAUACGACUACUAUGGUCGACCCGUUUGCGGAAGAGGCUACGGGGACUCCGGUCUAGGAGCGUGGUGUUGACGGGCAUUCGUCCCAUGAGACUCCGGUCCAGGAUCAGCCUCGGGUCGAGGUGCAUUCGUCCCACGAGACUACGUUUCCGGAGGCUUCACCCGACGUGGAGAGGCCCGGAUGGGAUACCUGGCCGGAUCGGACCGAGUUGCCGGAUUGGACCGAGGGUCCGAGUGGCUCAGGGGGCUGGGAUGGCGGGGAUGAGUUUACGGAUAGUGAGGGCGAUGUGCAGGUGGACGGGGCCACCGUGUACAAGAGUGGUAGUACACGUCUCCCGGUCGUGCCGGCUACCCGCGAGCAGAGGCCGGUGAUUAAACCUGAAGGAGAUAGGUAAGUACAUUUACUCUUUUUUAGCUUUUGCCUUCAAGUUUGUUCAAAUAUCUAAUGUGUUGACCUUAUCAUACUGCAGGGGAUGGGUACACCCUAUUGGAGUCCGCAGGCCGAACUCCGUCCUUGGUGUGCUUUGCCGGACAAAUUUCCCGGGGUUUGUCACGUUGCUUGGUGAGGGUCAGGUUCCUACACUAGGAUUUUCCUGGGAGCACUACCAGGCUGCGCAAGCCCCGCCGGAAGAGAUUAUAGAUGGUGUCUUGUGACACACGAGGGUCGAGAUGGUGAUCAAGAGCUUUUGGGUAAAUUAUCCUUUUACACAAUCUAAAAUUAACAAGAUAAGUAAUUAUUGUACUAAUCGGUGUUUUCACGUUUGAUUGCAGACCUUCUAUAGGUGUGAGGAUGGAUAUGAGGAGGAGGCGGCCAAGGUUCUCGAGGCCGAGUGUAGGCGGUUACUACAGAACUUAUGCCACGAGGCUCGGCCGCAGGCUAUUCGAGACUACUAUGCCACGCGUGGUAUUAAGAAGCAGAAGAAGGAUUGCCGCGGAAAGUUUCUGAAGAAGGAGCAAUACAUGAAGGUAAUUACCUAUUCUUAAGUCCUUAUACGUAGUUUUCUUGAUUUCAUUCAUAGGCGUAGCGCUCAAAAUUCUUUCUAAUAACUUACAGGUGCCCCCGAGAUGGUGUGCGGAUAAGAUGGAUUGUUGGGAGGCGUUGGUUGAUGAGUGGUGCACAGGCAGCUGGCGAGCCGUCCACGAGAAUGCGAAGGAUCGGCAUAGCCAAAUGGUUGGUGUGCCACACCAUCAAGGCAACGCCAACUUACUUCAGUUUGGACGAAACUGGGUAUGUGAUUUGCUUCAUGAUUCAUGCAAUUCGUUCUUCAUGCUAGUGUUUUGAUCCUCUCUUUUAGGCGCAUCACAAUAAUACGGAGAUGCCACACUUGUACGACCUUUAUGGCAUGGCCCAUACUGCCUCGUACAAGAAGGCGAAGGCAUUCUCUGAGUCUGACCUGGAUGAUCCCAAUAACUUCACCAACAUAUCAUCCCACCACAAGCUCGUGGCAUACAGGGACGCGGGGAAGGCUAUGAAAGGGGAUGACUUUAACCCUAGCCAGGAACCUUUGGAUCCAAAGCUGGUGAUGAUAUCUGGUGGCAGGAGGCCCCAUGGCUCGAUAGCCAUUGGAGCUGGGAUAAUACGUUGUCCACUCACUCUCCCGGAGAUCAAGGCGCGCCAGUCGAGCAGUUGUCCUGAGAUAACGCGUCGUCCACGGCCAGUCGAUCUUGCCAUCGAGGUUAGUUGUACGGACUAAGAACACUUUCAUCCAUUUCAUUAUGUGUGUCACCAUAGAUCAUUACUGUGGUAACUAGGAGUGGUGUUUCAGGCUGCUCUUCGGAAAGAGAGGUUGGCAAACUAGGCUGCUCUUGAGAAAGAGAGAUUGGCAAACCAGGCUGCUCUUGAGAAAGAGAGAUUGGCAAGCCAGGCUGCUCUUGAUGAGAGGGACCAGACCACGACACGAUUGAUUGAGGAGGAGAGGUCCCGAAAUGAGGCGGGUCAACGGGCCGUGUAUGAGCUUUUUGUGGUAAGUUUUUUUUCACAUUAGCCAAAUCAUGUGUGUAAUGUCUGUUUCAUUACUAACUAAUACGACCCACUCUUCACGGUCAGUGCGAGAUGAGCGGUCAAGUCCCUCCGUCGAUGCCCGUCUUCUCUUCGAUUAGCAUGGUGAGUUUUAUUAUAAACUAGUAUUAAUAAUUUAGUGUCAUCAUGCUAACUCAGACAUUGCAAAAUAUCUAUUCUGCAGAAUAACUCCCGAGCGGCAUCGCCCGACCCUUCUCCACGUAUUUCUCCUCCUUGAUGACCACUACGGUAAGUUUAUAUUCUCCUCUUUCAUAUAAUGACAUAGUUAGCUAAUUUAGCUCCAAGAAGAGGAGAAGAGGAGGAGGAGGAGAAGGAGGAGAAGGCCAAGGACCUUCUAGUCCUUCUCCUCGUCCUCCUCCUUCUCCUCCUUCUUCUUUAUUUCUUCUUCUCCUCCUCCUCCUCCUCUUUCUUCUCCUCUUUCAUAUUCUCCUUGCCUUAAUUUCCCCAACAAUGACAUAAUUAGCCCAUUUAGCUCCAAAAUGCCAUAAUAACCUCAAAAUGGCAUAAGAACCUUGGUUAGCUCAUUAAUAUUAUAUACUUAGCUUGUUUUCCUCUAAAAUGGGACAAUUAGCCCAUUUAGCUCCAAAAAUACAUAGUUAGCUAAUUUAGCUCCAAGAAGAGGAGAAGAGGAGAAGAAAUAGGAAAAAUGAAAAGAAAGAAGAAGAAGAAGAAGAGAAGAAGGAGAAGGAGGAGGAGGAGGAGGAGAAGAAGAAUAAAUAAAGAAGAAGGAGGAGAAGGCCAAGGACCUUCUAGUCCUUCUCCUCCUCCUCCUCCUUCUCCUCCUUCUUCUUUAUUUCUUAUUCUUCUUCUCCUCCUCCUCUUUAUUCUCGUCUUUCAUAUUAUCCUUGCCUUAAUUUCCCUAACAAUGACAUAAUUAGCCAAUUUAGCUCCAAAAAGACAUUAUAAGCUCAAAAUGGCAUAAGAACAUUGGUUAGCACAUUAAUAUUAUAUACUUAGCUUGUUUUCCUCUAUAAUGACAUAGUUAGCUAAUUUAGCUCCAAGAAGAGGAGAAGAGGAGAAAUGAAAAGGAAGAACAAAAAGAAGAAGAGAAAGAGAAGAGAAGGAGAAGGAGAAGAAGGAGGAGGAGAAGAAGGAGAAGGAGGAGGAGGAGGAGGAGGAGGNNNNNNNNNNNNNNNNNNNNNNNNNNNNNNNNNNNNNNNNNNNNNNNNNNNNNNNNNNNNNNNNNNNNNNNNNNNNNNNNNNNNNNNNNNNNNNNNNNNNGAGAAGGCCAAUGUGGCCGUCGAACGCUGCAAAGAGGUGGAAUCCCGCCUGAGCGCCCUCCAAGGGGAACAUGCCAAGCUAGUCGAGCAACGCCGCUCGAAGGAGGAGGAACUCAAGGCCUGUGAGGCCAAGCUUGCCGCCCGGGAGAGGGAGCUGUCCCGGGAGACGAACCGCCUGGGAGCAGAACAGGAGCUCUUGGUUGAGCGGGAGAAGGAUGCCACNNNNNNNNNNNNNNNNNNNNNNNNNNNNNGCGGGAGAAGGAUGCCACCACGAAGGAGGCUCUCCUUGAGGCCUGGGAGAAGGCCCUCGCCGCAGCCAAGGAAAAGAAGGCCUCCGAGCUGGCAUGCUUCCCCGACGUCGAGCUUGUGCUUCGCAAGGCGAUCCACUACCUCUGUCGGGGUGGGUUUGACGAGCCUCUGGCUACCCCGGAGGAAAGCAUUUCCAUGCUCGCGAAUGGGCUCGUCACAGCGCUGCGGGAUGCCGUCAUGCAGAUCGACAAGUCCUUGGCGAGUGAAUGCCACGACCUCUUCUUCGCGGUCGUGACUCGUGUCUUCAGCCACGUUCAUCUUCGCGACCCCGAAUUUGAUCUAAGCUUCGUGAUCAUGUGGUUCCUCCCAGGGCCCGCGACCGCGUCGUGGAGUCGGUGAAGGGUCUUGUGGAGGCGUUGGUGAGGAAGUUCGCCCGCGUCGUGCCCCCCUCGUCACCAGGUACCGCUAGAGGCGACGAUAGGGAAGACAAUGCCUCCGAUGUCGACGACCAGCCCCCUGUGGAGGGGGUGACCGACGGCGGCUCCUCUUGAUCUACUGCACUUGUUAUUUCUCUGCAAUGCACAUCGUGCCUCGUGGAGGCGUCAAACUUAUUUGUGUUUUUUAUGAACUGGGUCAUGGUCUGUAAUAAUUGAAUGCUCGAUUGUUUUCCUCGGCUUGUUCCUAUCAUUUUUUCCGUGUUUCUCUAUGUCGGCAAGGCCGGCCCUGCUCGUACCUUCCCGUGAUUGGACUGACCGGAAACCAAGGACAACCCAAAGGGGGAAGGGGCUAUGAGCGCAGUUAGGCUCCUGAGUCGCGAUGCUCAGGAAUCCCCCUUGACGCGCAAGCUCCUCUCAUGAGGAGGACGUGGUGAAGAUUCCGAAACUUAGAACAUUUUCAGCACUCUGUGUCGGGAGAGCCUGCCCCGCGCAUACCUCGCCGCGAUUGAACCAACCAGAAACCAAGGACGGCCCAAAGGGGGAGUGGCUAUGAGCGUAGUUAGGCCCGUGAGUCGUGAUGCUCAUGGGUGCCCCUUGACGUGCGAGCGACUCCGAUCCUCUUCGUAAGAAACCGAUGGUGUGAGACUCUCGAACUCCUUCAACACUCUGCAUCUGCAGGGCCCGCCCCACGCGUACCUCCCCGCAGUUGAGCCGACCUGAAAGGGGUGGCUAAAAAGGGAAAGGGGCUACGGGCACAGUUCAGGCUCCUGAGUCGCGAUGCUCAGGAGUCACACUUGACAUGCGAGUGACUCCAGCAUUCUUCCUAAGGGAUUUAAAGCGACUUGUUGAGCGCAUUGGGCUAUGUGUCCGCAGGGCCCGCCCCCUGCGUACCUUCCUGCGAUUGAACCGUCCAAGGACGGCCCAAAGAGCGAAGGGGCUACGAGCAUAGUUAGGCCGCUGAGUCGCGAUGCUCAGGGGUCCCCCUUGAUGUGCGAGCGGCUCCGUACCUUCAGUUGUUUGCCCACACGCUGGGUGUGGGCGGAGCUGUGGAUGUAUUGCGCUGAUCCCCUCGAUGGCCUUGGGUGUAGCCAUUGGCGGGCUGUGUUAAUGCCGGUUGAGGGCGUAGUCAUCGGCGGACUAUAUUGGUUGCCCAUGUAUGUACCCAGCGCGGAGCAUAGGUCUUCUACUAGGCAUAGGGUGGACCCCUCCGUGUCCUCGGGGGGCCCUGGGCGUAUAUAGCCUCGGCUCGUUAUUACGUUAGAGUGUCACGGUGGGGGUGUAUAUGGGAGGUCGCGAGAAAGAUAGGGCCUUGCAAGUGUCCCUACCCCGAGGCAUCGGGGCCUGAUCUUCUCCCCAGCGUGGAGCGUAGGUCUGCCACUCGGUAUAGGAUGGACCCCAACNNNNNNNNNNNNNNNNNNNNNNNNNNNNNNNNGACCCCAACGUGUCCUCGGGAGGCCUUGGGCGUAUACAGCCUCGGCUCGUUAUUACGUGAGAGAGUCACAGUGGGGUGUAUAUGGGAGGUCGUGAGGAUGCUAUGGCCUCGCGAGUGUCCCUACCCCCGAGUCAUUGGUGGACUGAAUUGACUUGGUUUGGGUCAUUGGCAAACCCUGCUCACUUCUUCUUUAGGAGAGGGGCUCCGCACCUGCACGAACAAACUUUGACCGGAGCCCCCAAGCGGGGGCCGAUCGCCCGACAAUAUAACCAAGGCGGAACGUUAGGAUGCCAAGCAGGUGCAAUUGAACAACCAAAUGAUGCAUAAACGAAAGUAGUAGCUGGGGAAAGUACAGAGCUCGGGGAGGCCGCAUGGCCCUGGGGUUACCUAUGGACUGGGCGAACCGAAAGGUUACCUGGCAGCGGCCAGCAAAAAGUUACCUAGCGGCCGAGCUGCUGAAGUGCCGGAGGCUCUGUUGUCGCUUGAUUUCCUGGAUCCGCAGUCGCGACCCUCACGGGUCCAUCGCCCCCCGAUCUAGGGGCCUUCGCUUGGCCCGAGCAUCUUCUCCUCCUCCUCGUGGCGCCCAAGCACGCAAGGGAGGAGAAUGGCCUGCUGGAGCCUCUGGUACGUGGCAGCCGCGUUCCUCAGCCCGGAGAGCAUGAAGGCUUCAGUGCUCGGGUACUCCCACCAGUAGCCAGUCUGCGUAGGACAGAAGGGGUCGUGCGCCAUGGCUGCGUUGGUUGCAGACGCGUUAAUGCAGAUGCGGGGCCGGUCAACUGUGCAGACAGCGGCGACUGCGAUGGGUGGUGCGGGGCAGUUACCGUGUCGCAUGGUCUGGGCCUCGAGAAGUUCUCGGAUUUCUUUGAUGACGGACUCGCGAGAUCUGGUCGAACGUGCUCCGGAGUGCGCCCUCGGGAUGUGCUCAGACACCGCCUCUGUCUCACUGAUCAGGCUAGGGGCCUCCCCGGUGGGAGCCCCCUAGCCCUGAUCUAAGAGGGACGCCGAGCGCACAUCCCUAUGCGAUGGGGGGCAGGGAUCCGUCCCCGAGCAUCGAACACAAAGCCCCGAGGCACUCCGCAGGGAGGAACUCCUUCUUGAGCGGGGCUUCGUGAGGCAGCUCGUCAUCUUCAUCAUUUGAGCGUUCUGACGUUGCCGCACGGUACGCUCUCUCCAGUGCGUAGACAUCAUCCUUCUCAUGACAGGGUAUGGUGAUGUCACCACCGCUUCCCGGCAUCUUGAGGACAUUCUAUCCAUGGUGGACCACGACCAUGAACUUGGCAAGCACUGGUUACCCGAGGAUGGCAUUGUAUGGCAGAUGGAUGUGCGCGACGUCGAAGAGGAUGACCUUGGUGUGAUAGUUGUGGCGCUCGCCAAAGGUGACGGGCAGGUGCACUUGCCCAAUGGGUACGGUGGAUCCCUUUGUUACCCCUGAGAAGGGCUUGGUCGGCAUGAGUUGCUCAUACGGCAGCUGGAGCUUCUCGAAGGUCUCGACUGAGAGGAUGUUGAGCCCAGCUCCACUCUCAAUGAGAGUCUUGGUGACGAGGACGUUGCUGAUAGUUGGGGUGCACAUCAUUGGGAGCUUGCCAGCCAGGAACGAGCACCUGAGCUGGUCGCUUGGGUCGAAAGCAAUGGUGGUCUGGGACUAGUUGAGGGGACGUAUCGCUUCAGGCCUCGGGAGGGCGACAUUCACCUCCUGGGACAACUGCAUGAAGGCGUGGUUGGAUGCUGGGGUCUGGGCACCACCCAGGAUGGAAGCUAGUGCCCUGGCAUUCUGGAAGCCCCCAGCCCUGUCGUCUUGCUUGUCUUCGUUCCUCCUCCUGGGCUGCAGGGGCAGCGAGGGCAGCCUGGUCUCUCGAGGGCGAGCCUCACGAGGUUGGCCGCUUCGCUGGCCCUCCUGAGGAUUAUCACGCCAGCGGUCCUCCUGAGGUUGGCCAUGCCAGGGGUCCUCCUGAGGCUUCUCAUGCCACCCCUGACGUGGCUCACGAUCAUCCCAGCGGACCCCAUUGCGGCCUCCUCCAUGCAGGGUUUCUGUAGAACUGUCCGGGAUCCUGUUGAAGUGUUUGGCAUGAACCAAACGUAGUUCUUGACAUUCAGAGGUGUCAUGGCCGAUGGUGCAAUGGAAGAUGCACGUCGGCCCUCCUCCAGAGGGGCGCUCUCCCCCCUCGAGUAUGCUUCGUUUCAGGCUCGGCGGCUAGUACCGCUGGGGCCUUGCGCUUCAGCUCCUUGGCUUUGGCCUUCUUCUCUUCUGGGUCCGCCGCCUGGGGCCCAAGGAGCGAUAGGCGUCCUUCUUCCGCCUUGGCGCACUUGCUUGCCAAGUUGAACAUCUCCAAUGCGGUGCUCAUUUCAUCGUUCAUGGCAAGCUCUUCCUUCAUCUUGAGGUCGGUGACUCCGUUGGAUAAAGACGAUACGACAGCCUCAUCCGACGCCUUAGGGAUCAUGAGGCGCAUGACAGUCAAACAUUGUAUGAACUUGUGCAGGUUAUCCACCUCUUGCUGCUUGACGCGCCGCAGGUCGAUCACGGUGGGAGCGCGGUCGCGGGUGCCCUGGAAGUUGGCGAUGAAGCGCUCACGCAAGCCGUCCCAGGAGGUAAUGGACGCCUUUGGGAGGUUGAGGAGCCAUGAAAGCGCGCCACCCUUGAGCGCCAUCGGGAACCAACAUGCCAUGAUCUUGUCGCCACCUCCUGCCGCCUUGAUGCUCAGUGUGUAGAGUUGCAGGAACUCUGUCGGGUCUUGGUUUCCGUCGUAACAUGGGGGCAGGUCGGGCUUGAACUUGCAGGGCCAUGUGCCGGGGUAGAUAUCGGGGGCGAUGGUGAAGCACCCCACCGGUCCAACAAGCACAGUACGCGCGGGGGCUGCCUGGUCUUGUUGUUCCUCAGGGUCUGCCUCGAGCAGAGCACGCUCCGGGCGCGAGAUCUACAACGCCAGGGGAGCGCACGCGUUGGCGCGGGGCCUGGGGAUCAUCUGGCAGCUUGCUUCAUCCCCGGGCCUCGCCCUGGGUUCACGCGGCCGAGCACGGAGUCGUGCUUCCUGCCCGGGCUCGGGGUCCGCGACAUGCCGCGGAGGCGAGUAUGGCGCGUCUUGCUCCUCGUUGUUCGUCAGGGACGGCUAGGGCCGGAGCAAGCAGGAGAGUGCCGCUGAGUCACCAGCGGCGGCGAUGAGUUCCUCGAUGCGAUGGAUCGAGUUGUCAUGGCGGUCUAGAGCUGGUCGGUAAGGGAGAAGCUCGGUGGUCAUGGCAAGCGGGCGGCGGCCAUGGGGCCUCCCUAGCCGAGCGCGGGAUGCCGACGCCGAAGGCCUGACGAGCGACGGCGUGGCGGUGCAGCUGUCGACAUGCUCAGUCGGAGGUUGGGAGCAGCCCUGUUGCUCUAGAGCUUCGGGGCUGGUAGCAGCAUUCACCACGGGUGACGGUGACCGACACGCACCGGCAGCACCGACGGGUGCGGUCCGGGCGAUGCGGGUGGCGCGAUGUUCCGCACGUACCCGGUGUGUAUCAGCCAUCAGAGCCAUGGAGUUUGGUGAGGACGGAGCUUGGAGUAAACCUCGACACGCCCCUACCUGGCACGCCAAAUGUUGGAUUUCGGGCUCUGCAAAACCCUAAGGACUCAAACACUGGCGCGUGUACAAAGAUCUCCCCUUCUUCGCCUCGCCUGUCUCACUACUCGAUGGAAACAAUGAAGGACUCACUAGAAGGUGAGGAGAACACAGAACCCAGCAACUUACCCAGGUUCGAGCCGCUAUGAAGCGUAAAACCCUAAUACUGCUUUGGAGGAUUGCCUCUCUUCAAGGUUGAGGAACGAGAUGGUACAUGGCUUUUGCGCCUCCGGAGGCCAAGUGGCUAAGCGUGCUGCACUAGGGUUUCGAUCCCCUCUCUCAAGUAUCUGUUGGGCAAGGUUGCAUGGGAAACAAAAAAAUUCCUACGCACACGAAGACCUAUCAUGGUGAUGUUCAUCUACGAGAGGGAGGUCAUAUCCACAUACCCUUGUAGAUCGCUAAGCACGAAGUGUUAAGAAAUGUAGUUGAUGUAGUGGAACAGCUUUGUGAUUCAAAUCACCAUUGUCCCACGAUCCGUCCCGAUCUAGUACCGAACGGACCACACCUCUGCGUUCAGCGCACGUACAGCUCGAUGACGAUCUCUGCCUUCUUGAUCCAGCAAGAGAGACGGGGAUGUAGAUGAGUUCUCCGGCAGCGUGAUGGCGUGCUGGUGAUGGUGAUGAUCUAUUCCUACAGGGCUCCGCCCGACCUCCGCAAAAAACCGAUCUAGAGGAAGAACUACGAAGUAGAGGUUUAGGGUUUCAUGUGGCAAAGUUUUUUCUCAAGAACACUAAAAUCUCUAGUAUAUAUAGUAGGAGGGGAGGGGCUAGCCUUGGGGAUCAAGAGAGCCCCUAGGGCGUCGGCCGAGUGGAGGAGGAGGGACUCCCACUCCAAUUCGGUUUGGGAAGGAGGAGUCCCUUCCUUCCUUCCCACCUCCCUCUUUUUUUUCUCCUUUGAUUUUUCCUCUUGGACGAAAUAGCCCUAUUAGGCUGGCCUCACCAGCCCACCAAGGGCUGGUGCGCCACCCAUGGCCUAUUAGGUUCUCUCCCGGGUGGGUGGCCCCCUCCCGGUAAAAACCCGGAACCCAUUCAUCACUCCCGGUACACUGCCGGUAAUGCCCGAAAUCUUUCCGGAAGCCAAAUGAAACAAUCCUAUAUAUCAAUCUUCGUUUCCGGACCAUUUCGGAAACUCACUUGAUGUCUGUCAUCUCAUCCGGGAGUCCCAACAAACCUUCGGUCGCCAACACCUAUAACUCAACUAUACUGAAACGUCACCGAACCUUAAGUAUGCAGACCCUGCGGGUUCGAGAACAAUGCAGACAUGACCUGAGACACUCCCUGAUCAAUAUCCAAUGGAGGGACCUGGAUGUCCAUAUUGGAUCCUACAUAUUCUACAAAGAUCUUAUCAGUUGAACCUCUGUGCCAAGGAUUCAUAUAAUCCCGUAUACCAUUCCCUUUGUCCUUCGGUAUGUUACUUUCCCGAGAUUCGAUCGUCGGUAUCCCUAUACCUAUUUAAAUCUCGUUACCGGCAAGUCUCUUUACUCGUUCUGUAAUACAAGAUCCUGUGACAAACACUUUAGUCACAUUUCUUGCAAGGCUUAUAUGUGAUGUUGUAUUACCGAGUGGGCCCCGAGAUACCUCUCCGUCACANNNNNNNNNNNNNNNNNNNNNNNNNNNNNNNNNNNNNNNNNNNNNNNNNNNNNNNNNNNNNNNNNNNNNNNNNNNNNNNNNNNNNNNNNNNNNNNNNNNNAGCAUGUUUUCUCGAGCCAUGUUGGUACAUGAACAUGGACAUACACAUAUUCUUAGGAACAAAUAAGAAAGAUAAAUGGAGAAGGAAAACCCAAAGCAAUGUCAGAGUUGACAAAACUGCAAUGGCACUUUAUAUGUGGCCCAUCGUCAGUGAGCUGUUUAUGCCUUGCCGGACUCCUCGCAGCCUGGUGGCUUGAAGGCGAUGAAGCUGACGCACUGCACCUGACGCAUGUUGUCGAAUCCGAUGAUGCGGACAUACGCGUCAGGGUACUCCUUCUUGACCUCCUCCACCUCGUUGAGCACCUGUGUGGCGUCGGUGCAUCCGAACAUAGGCAGCUUCCACAUUGUCCAGUACCGGCCAUCGUAGUACCCAGGAGAUGCGUUGUGCUCACGGAAGAUGAACCCAACCUUGCUGAACUCGAGGCAAGGCACCCACUUGGAGCGGAUCAGGUAGUCGACCUGCUUAAGGAGGGCCUCCGUGCUGAGUGGUGGCAAGUAAGACAGGGUCUCGAACUUCUUGAUGCCCUCGAUGGGCCACACCUGCAAAUCAGAUUCACGUCUAUACAUUAAGAGACUAUAACUCUAGUUCUACACGUUUGAUUGUUCUUCUUGACAUCCGUCGGCUUAAAAAUGACUAGAAAGACAGAGACGAUGUUGUUUACCUGCAUGCACCUGAUCCUUCCACCGUUGCUGACGCUGCCGAGGCUAGCACCGUUCGAGCGGCGGCUGACGGGGAGGCCGGCGGUGGACUUGAGCCCCUGGAAAGGAGCGACGGAGGUGGCCGACGAGGCCAUCACGGUGGGGGCCAUAGCUGUACUAUGUAGGUAUAUAGCUUGCUAGAGGGAGGCACACUGGCUUGAGGACUG